rnacentral:lncRNA from 1 species
UUUUUUUUUUUUUCUGUUCUUGUAUUUUCUGAGUUGCAGGCCUGGGUUUCUUCCACUUAUAAGAAAAAUGAGUUGUAUUCAUACGUGUUCCUGAUUCAAGCUUAUUCUCAAUUUGGUUUUGUUCCUCCAUAAAACCUCUUGAUUGAUUAGAAUUUAAUGAAAAUAUGAUUAGGGUUUGAUAAAAUUGUGUUGAAUAUAGAAAUGGGUUCAAAGAGUAAAAAUUAUAUUUUUUAUAUAUUAUAUUUUGAGUAAUGAUACAGCCACAAACUCUUGUACAAACUUAUUUUGUACAAACUGAUGUGGCAUGAUAAGAUUGGUUGAAUUAAAUAUCACUUGGCCCACAUGAUUUGUUUUUAUUAAUUUAUAUUUUCAUUCAACCAAUCUUAUCAUGCCACGUCAGUUUGUACAAAAUAAGUUUGUACAAGAGUUUGUGGCUGUAUCAUUACUCUUAUAUUUUAAUGUCCAUAACUAUAAUUUAAUUCAAGGGUAUUUUAAUUAUAAAAAAUUAUUUUCAAAAGUGGGUUUAAUGAGUAGUAUGGUGGGUUCAAAUAGAGGAGCUAAACAAAAGGGGGUUUUAAAAGGAUAAUUGAGGAGCUAAUAAAGUAAACCACCACUUCAUAUCUUAUCAGACCCAAUUAUAUUUUUUAUCAAUUUUUUUUUCUUUUUUUUUUUAUAGGAACAUCCAUACAGAAUCUAGUUCGAGCUUCAUCUAGUCUCAGCAUAAAGUAAUAGAGUCAUCAAGUCUGGUUGUGAGGUAAUGUAUCUGCGUAUUCAUUUAGGUUAACAUCUGCUAAAAUGUUACCUACUACAACACUGCGUGAAAGAACUAAACGUUUUUUUAGCAUCCAACAAGGUGUUUCAAUUACUCUAUUAUUAGAUGCGUCAUUGCCUCAGUCUAUUAUUGUUUAGUACAGAUCAGUACUUAGCUAAAUGGUUGCCAUCUUCCCAGUCUUAUACUCUUAUAAUUGAGGCCGAGGACGAAGUAGAAUUUCUCAUAAUUAUAUCUGAGACAAGGCAUCUUAUUCAUUAGAGAUUUUCGAGGCUUCUAAUUGUAACUAUCUCCAUGAUUCUCUCAAUGCUCUUUGAUCUUGUACUUCACAAUACAAAUAAUGAAAUCGAAAUUAUUACUUCAACCUUCAAUUGUUCUGGUCUUAAUGAAGCUGCAGCAAUUAGAGAUUCACGUUGUACAAUUGAAAUUAUUUAAUUUCAACAUAAUUCUCACCAAUAAUUGCUGUUUACAAUUAUUCUCUCUCAGCCUAUAAAAUUAAGCUAACAGAGGCAUAUUAAUUUUCUUAUGACGUGUAUGUAAGGUGUGUUUGAUGUGCUGUACUGGAUUGCAUGGCAUUGUUUCUGAGCUAAGAUUGACACUUUCAUUUCAUUACGCCUCAAUUACAAAGGACAGAGACGGGAAAACAGAGAGAUAAAAGAGAGUUGUUCACACGUUGAUAGGCACAUCUGCCUUUCAAAAGAUACACGCAAUGUUCAGUUUUGAUGGUAAGAAGGCCUUGGACUUUUUAUUGCAGCCUAAGAUUCUUUAGAAUCCUGUAAAAGCAAGAAACAAAAAUAUAGUCUUAGAUUUUGACAUAUUAUUAAGCAUGUAAAAUAUUCAUUAUCAGUGCAUAAACUGCUUGAAAAAUGAAAAGCGAUGAUAUGAAGGCUGCCAGAUGUUGACGGAAUUAACGAUAAACCCAGGUAGAAUUACCGUAUUAUCAUCGCUUAUCACACAGUAAAACGGCUACGGUGUACCCUCUGUUUCUGUCAAGCUCUUCUAUUAAAUUUUUCUGUUUAAAUAUCAGCGUUCUCUUGGUUCUACAUGCUUUUAAUUAUUUCAUAGGAGAUCUCAAAAAUGAUAUAUGAUAAGCAAUAGCAUUUUAUAUUUCUAUACCGAAAGUAUUACAUUAUAACUCUCUCUCUCUCUUAACAUGUGUUCCCAGGAUACACGUUUACGUAACCCUUUUUCUAUAUAUCACAGGUCCACAACAGGCAAGGGUCAAAGCUCCAAGCACAGGUGGACCAAAAAUUUAUCAAGUGGGAUUUUUUCUCAUGUGGAAUUUCUUUUAGAUUAAGGAGAGGAUAAGAAGCUGAAAGUAAUUUUGAUUCUUCAGGAUUAUCCAAACCGGCUGGCUUUUUGAACUGACCAUUCUUGGACCGCUUUAAGCUAUGCAAACUUUUUAGAACAAAGUCAUUCAGUUUUCUUUGUUAAUUUAGUCCAUGGACAGUAAAUUUUCAUCUGGGACUUGAUAAAUACAUUACAGUCCAUCCAAAUUUGUUCAAGCUUAGACAAUCCAGUGCGGCUCACUAAACACACCCUCAGUAUCUUGGCUUUGAUACUAAAUAUCUUAAUUAACAUCUUGAUCCAGAAGCUUAAACUUUACCUAACGUUAGUAUUAAAAGUCUAAGUCUAAUACCAUCUAAAAAAAGACCAAACAUGGUGUUGGAAUUAGCUAAAUAUAUUACCUCUCUUCAUUAGCAGCAUUGUAGCUGCUUCCAGGGGACUUGUAGUUGGGGAUCGGAACUCGGCCGGCCUCAAUGCGGUUGAGAUCGUCAACAAGGAUUUCAUAGUGUUUCUUGACUUCCUCCACAGUUUUGCCUCCGCCCACAGCCUUGGCUAUGUUUUGCCAGCGGUCUGGGGUUUCCUUGUCGUACAAGGCUAGAGCCUUCUCAAAGAGCUUGUUUUCCUUUGGUGUCCAAGUAGAACUAAGAGAGCCUGAGGCCAUAAUAACUCGCACUCUUCUAUUCUUUUUAGUGUUUGAAUAUUGCUAAGAAGUGUAAAAGAUAGAGAUGGUGAAAAGAGGAAGAAGAAGAUGUUGGAUUUUGUUCAAAUGAUGGCUUGUGUGUGUGCUGAAGAUUACUAAGGAUUAGCUGCUUAAAUAUAGAGUAAAAGGAGAAGUUGUGGAGCCACAUGGGAAUCUAUUUUCCCAAAAGGUGGCAUAUGGUGUGACCCGUCAUCUUUGGAACCACAGGAUGAAUUAAGCAGGAAAAGGGCAUUUUUUUUCCCAAAAAAAAGAAACUAUUAAACUGAUCUUAAUUAACCACUCGGGCAGUAGCCCGAGUGGCCAGGGCUGCUGCCCUCCAACUUGGAGGGCAGCAGUUCGAACCCCCACAAAAGCAUUGUGGGGGUAUUUUCUUCCUCAAUUAAUUUGAGUGAAGGUAGUCUUCUUUCUUACCCAUGAGUGAGGAGUAGACAUCCCUCGAAUAUUUGUGAGGGUUAAAAUUUGGGCAGAGCUCCAUUAGCAUUGAUGUCAGUUGGUCCCAGUAAUAGUCUGAUUUGUAAAUAUCAGUAAUAGUCUCAUGUAUAUGAGUUGUAAUCUGAGCAAUAAUCUCAUGUAAUCAAAAAAAAAAACUGAUCUUAAUUAGGGUACAAUUGUAAUUUUAUGACUUCUGCUUAAUUUUAAAAGCUCACUCCUGAAAAUAUAGAACGAUGAAUAUCCAUGUCACAGUAUAUAUAGACCAUUUACAUAAUUAUACAUGACAACUAGUAAUUUCAUGUCAUGAUAACUAUGGAUAAAAAUGUGCACCAUCUUCAUACCAAAUGUAUCUUAAUUUAGUGAAAAAUAUAAUUAAAUUAAGAUGUGGCAGCUGAUAAUAGAAUCUUGAACCAUUGCUGGGUUUUUAGAAUUCCGAAACAGACAUGUGGCACUUAUUAUUGUUUGUUGAUUAAAAUUUUAAUGUUUUUAGUUUGCUGAAGGGUUAUUUAUUACAAUGAGUCAUCAAUAUUUGACAAUGUAACUUUUAGUUUUGAAAACAUGAUUUAAGCUGUCGAAAUUGGAGAAUUAUUUAUAACGAUGAGUCCUCAAACAUUCAGCUAUGUCAUUUGUUGUUUCAGAAACAUGAUUUAACCUGUCGAAGAUUGCAGGCGGAGUAGGAGACAAAUAGCAUUUUUUUGUUUAAAUGGUAUUUAUAACGAUGAAUCCUCAAACAUUCAGCUAUGUCAUUUGUUGUUUCAGAAACAUGAUUUAACCUGUCGAAGAUUGCAGGCCGAGUAGGAGACAAAUAGCAUUUUUUGUUUAAAUGGUUCUUGCAUGCAUAUACUUGAGCUGUUAUUUAUAGUCUCGAUAAGAAUUAAAGAAUUUGAAUGUUAAUCACUUAAUUGGGUUCCAUUUUAGGCUGUGCUUGGCUUCAAUUAGAUGGAUUAUUACACAGUUCGCAUAUCUGAACUCACCUUUAAUCGGCCAAUUCUUGUGGACGUGUAAUUGAGAUAAACCUAACCUUGUAAAAGAAAAAGAAAAAAAGAAAGCAAGAAAGAUAUAGCGGUUACCACAUAAGCCAAGAGCGACAACAGAGCAAGAAAGAUAAAGGAAAUGGGAAACUUUAUUGGGGCAAUCGUUUUGCUUGGACUGGCAUGUGUGUCUUCUUAGCUUCAACUCCCCAUUAGGUAGCCUUUUGCACUUAUGAUUUUUGAAAGUUAGUUUUGUACUGAAUUGGACUUAUUGACUGAAAUCUCAAAAGCUCAAAGCAUCACAAGAAUCCUCUCUUACCAUUUUGAUCAAUAAUGCCACUCAGUAAGGUGAUUGGAGCUUUUUCAGAGAAAAGUUUGUUCGCAUGGCAAUCUCUUUAUCCUUAGUAGUGGACGAUCUCGCUAGAAUCAAUGCAUCUCUGUUUCAUUCGAGAAAUAGGCAUAUUUUACUUGUCAGACCAAAAUAAAUAUAGAAGAAAAUCCAAACUAAGAGAAGCUUAAACAUAACACGUAAUUGUUUUGCGUUUAGUUGGUUCAAUGGAUAAAUCUUUUGUAGUGCUACAAUAGAUUGGGGGUUCACACUUAUCCUCUCAUAUUUUUUCAUUUAAUUAUAGUGCGAUGAAAACUUAAUUUCCUUCUUGCCCAUAAAAAUAACGUUCGAAUCCCAGACCUCUUGUAUCGCUCCCAAAAAAUUUGCCAAUUAAACAUAAUAGAAAGCACAUAGAUUCGCAUGUUUUAAAAUGAGGUGCAACAAUGAUGUCUCAAAUCUCAGUUUAAAGCUUGAACUCCUUGCGAAAGAGUGCAAUUUAUAAUACCGUUAAAAUGUAACCCUUAGCUUAGGAUGGCGUAUGUUUUGGACAGCUCAGUCCGAGAGCUGAGCAAACCUACAGUACGCCAAGAAAGGGUAGAGCUAGGCUGUGGUUGUAUUGAUGCAGUUUCUGAUUUGAUUCGUUUCAGAUCUUUGGAAUUGGAGUUUCGGAACCUUGCUCUCAACAAAACUCCAAAAUAUUAUUAGCUGGCUACCUGAAACCGUACCAUGAUAGGCGAAAUCACAUUGGGUGGUUUUUCUUGAAUCUUGGCUGCAUGCAUGUGUAUGUUUGUCUUUUAUUAUCUAUUCAGUCAACAGGUAUUGCUGCUUCUUUGGUUGGACAAGAGGAUUCCUCUGUCGCUUGAUUGGUGAUAGUGAGUGGAUAGGAUUAAAACCCAGCUUGGCUCCUAAUUUCUUUCAAAUAAGAAUAAAAUUGCACUCUCUCACAAAUGGUCUCUAGGAAUUUUGAGAAUCCAUGUUGGUUAGCAAAUGGGUUACUAAACUUAAGCUCGGUUUAUUUUAAUCUUUUUGGGUAGCGUAGUUACCAGGAUGUUUGGUUAAUACUAGUAAGUUGCUUUUGGGAGAAAUUUACACAAAUAACCACAAAUUUUUUUGUUUUUUGUUUUUUUUUAUUUUAACCCCCACAAACUUAUUUCUAUCAACAUUAGCCAAAAGUAAAAUUUUCAGACCAAAAUGCCCCUCUCACAUCUCUUCCCCAAGCCAAUCUCUUUCACGUAACCUCUCCUAGAGCCAAAAUCACCCAUCGUUAGCGGCGGCUCCACGCAUCAUCGGUGCCCGAUCUACUUUCAACGGCAAAGAAAAUCUAUUAUUCAACUUCAACAAAACAUAGGUUAGCCAUUUUAUUUAUAUUUCAUUAAUUAAAAAUGCAAUUUGAAAAUAAUAGUGGUAAUAGUUUGAGAAUAAUGGUGGUGGUGGUGGUGCUUGGAGUGGUGGUUGUUGUUUUGAGAGUGUGUUGUUUUGUGAUGGGCGCGAUUUGUAUGAUUUGUGCGUGACAAGGGCGUGUCGCUCGCGCCUGUCGUGCGCGCUUACUACCCAGCCACAGGCACGCGCGCGAGCGAUAGGUGGUCUCGCGUUCGCAUGACAGGUGCACGCCUGUCGCAUGUCGCGUGCGCGACAAGUGCGACAAGCUGCCUGUCGUACCAAAUUACAGUUUAUUUUUAUUUUUUAACGUGAAGUUAAUUUCCCUAUUAUUUUGUUAUAAAUGCAAUCUAAAAAUGUUAAAAAUAUUACAGAAAUGGCGAAAUCAGAAGUAUCAAGAAACAAACUGGGCAUGAUGAAGUUAGCUUAUGCCGAUCACUUCCCGGGGCGAAUUUCAAGUAUGUGUAACUUUUCUACAGUCAUAAAAGCCAUCGAGCGAAAAUUAACAAAACGACAGUUGCGUUUGUUCAAGGACGACAUAUUUGGGCAUUUCUUGGAGUGCCGAAACUCUCCAUUCAGUGCUAUAAUUUUGCACAAUAUUUUGCUUAGGCAAGUGACCCAUGGAGAAUACAGGAAGGAGGAUCAAUUAUGGUUUCAAAUUGGUGAGCAUUUGAUACGCUUGUCAAUUAGAGAAUGGUGCCUGAUUAUUGAACUUUCCUAUGGUGUAGAUACCGCACUAACAAAUAACAAGACGGUGCAUAGAUUACUGAAUACGUAUUUUGAUGGCUUGCUUCGCAACAUCAAUCUUAAGCAAUUCGAUCAUUAUUUGAGAGUUGGACUUCAAGACUAUUGACGACAUUGACGCAUUAAAGAUCACACUCUUUUAUUUUAUGGACAAAGUUCUAAAUGGAAGAAAAGGCCACUGUCAAAUCAAUUUCUCAUGGUUUAACGAAGUAGAUAAUAUAGAGUACUUUCGAAAUCAUCCAUGGGGUCGUUUGUCGUGGGAAACAAUAUACAAGAGUCUUGACAAUGCACUGUACGAGAAAGAUGAGAAAUUUAGGACGACUCGGUUAGAAAGGCCAAAUCAUAAAAUUGAAAAGUACAAUGUUUACGGCUUUAUGUCCGGGUUACCGUGCGUUGUUUUUUUGUUUAUUAAUAAGUUUUGUAACAUUAAAUAUUUGAUAAUUGUUUUAAUAGUUUUCUCACUUUGGCUGUUGCAGGCUUGGAUUUACGAAACGAUCAGAGGUUUACCGUCAGCAUGGGUCGUGAAAACGAAGAAGAAUAUUCCCCGCAUCGUGCAAUGGAAGCCCAUGGCUUCUUCGCAAAUCAACUUUGCUGAAGUUUAUUCGUUCUUCAAUGACGAAUCUCAUCUUGUAAGUAAUAUGUAUUGGUUCUUUUUUUGACAUUACUAAAUUUGAGUUUUGUAUACUUACUUAUAAUUUUGGGUUGAAUUUAUGGCAGGGGGACGUUUUACAAACCCUUGAGCCAUAUGCAAAAGAGAGUCGCAAAAAAUAUUGGCUCACUGUGAAGGAUUACAUGCCACGUAUUCUAGGCUGGGUUCAUAAAGUCGGUAUCCUAUAAGUACUAUUAUUUAUUAAUUGAAAUUUUUGACUUUUCAUAUACUUAUUUUAAAUGCUACUUUCUACAGCACCAACCUUCAAUCAACGCGCCGCUGCCCGUUAUAAGGCAAUCAGACGAGCAUGACGACAUACCGAGCUGAACACCAGAACAAAGUCAUGAGACUUUUGAGGAUGAGGUGCCUGUAGAUGACCAUCAGGAGCAGACAUACAAGUCUGAUGACGCACAAGAUUCCGAGGUUAUAAAAAAAUUAUUUUCUUCAUAUAUAAAUCAUUAUUUUUUACUGUUAUUAUAAAUAAUUUUUUUUUGUAAUAGUCGAAGACAAAGUAGUUUAAUGAUUAUAUGAGAUGACAGAUGGACAAUAUUCAUCGUAACAUUUAUAAACUUAAGUAAGAAUUUAAAGAUUUUAAAGAAACCGUGGUGGGAUUUAUCGAUUCACUGUCUAAACGUCCAAACAAGGAUUCUCCGACUGGACGCUCGUAUGCUGUGAGUAAAUUUAAAUUUAACAAUUGUGUUCGUUUAACUUUUAAUUUGAUAGUUGUUUAAUAUGUUCAUCUUGCCGAAUGGACAUGUCCCAAAUGACUAUGUAGUUUAUAGUGUAUACUGAUGUGGGCAAUUAAAACUUUUUUACUCCCACGUCAUUGUAUAGUUUCUAUGGAAAUGUUAGUAGGGAGAGCAUACAGGUCUUCACGGAGGCGCCUCCAGGCAUUAGUAAGUUCAGCCAAGCGUACAGACCGUCAUAUGCUUUUAAUAGUCCUUACAUGAUUCCUCCAUUCAGGCGAGGAAAGAACGUUCGGCGUUUACUUCCACCGCAAAUCAUGGACCAUGCGAUUGACGUGAGUACGAGUGUGGAUAUAAAUCCACUUAAAGGAUUGGAUGAUUUUAGUCUGUAUGCUGAGUUUGAUCGAUGGUUCGCUGGCAAUAUAAUAGUGGAUCAGAGAGUCCAACACCCGCAGUCGUUCUUUCAAGUAAUUUUGGGCCAUGCUUCAAUGGGAUGGCUAGGUGAUGAGGUAAUUUUUUUUUUAAUUUCUUUAAGUGUUGUGGAUUUGUGUAUUAUUUUUUCCUUUUAAAUCGACAUGUUUUUGUUCCUCUACAACAUAUUCACGAGUAUUAUUGCCAGAUUAACGAAAAGUAAUACCAGUAUCCGAAUGCCUUAGUUUAGUGUGUCACACAUACAAACAUAUUUUUUUGUGGUAACGUGCAGACAUAACUUAUAAUUACCCUUUUUAUUUAUUUAUUAUCUUCUAACGCCUUGAAAUUUUGUUAAUUUAUACAUUGUUUUGAUUAUUUAUGAAGUUUUGUUAAUUUAUACAUUUUUUGGGAUAUCUAUGUACUCUUUAUCCUUGAAUCAGUUAUGUAACAACGGAGAUUGUGCGGUUGAUUCAUUAGUAUAUAGCGACAGCUUGAAUAACUAUAUUGGUGGGCGGCAACACAUCAUGUCCAAACCAAUGACGGAUGUCGAUAUGGUGUGUAUUUUAUUUUAUUUUAUUUUACAAACACAAUCAAAUGUGUCUUUUUGAUGUAUGUUUUCCAAUUUCAUAUGAUACAUGAUAUAUUUACGAGAAUUUUUUAUAUACAGGUAUUUAUCCUUGUUAACUUAGACCGCGAGCAUUCGAUAUUUGCCCGAGUUGACUUUCGUAAGAACAAAGUUUGGAUUUAUGACUCAUUGUUGAUGUUUCGAGAUGAUAAAAAAUACAAGUUCAAGUUCAGGCCGUUUGAAGUUAUAUUCCCUCGAUGGUUGGAAUAUUUGGAUUCUACAACAUCCGACCUGAAUUGCGGAGUGCCAACCCAUGGAAAGUUGUUGCAGUUAAGGGUGUGCCAAAACAAGAGCCCAGUACUGGCGAUUGCGGUGUUUUUUUGUUGAUGUUCACGAUGUAUUUAAUGUUCGGGCUUAAAUUAGAAUUUAACGGUAGUCAUGAAGAGUACUUUAGAAAGAAGAUUGCAGUUGACAUAUUUAAUGACGAUAUUGUAUUGUAAACCGUUGUCAAAUUCAAAUGUUGAAACAUGAAUUUAUUUUCUAAUUUGCAUACUUAAGUUUAUAUAAUUUUCAUGCUCACAUUUUAAUAUAAAAUAAAAAACUUAGGAAUAAAAUUUCAUUAUAUAUAAGUGUACAAUACACAAAAAAAGUAACAAUUGUUUUAAUAUAAUCACUUGGAACAAUACAACUAACUUCGACUCGAUGCAAUGAGAUUCUUACAUCGCUUACCGUUAUGUCCCGGUUCAUUACACCGGCCGCAUCUAACAGUCCUCCAGUUGACGUCCUUGCCAGUCGAGGGUAUUCUGAACUCUUUACGACGACCAGGUGGUGGUGCCUCAACAAGUGGAUAAAUGUGCAUCUCUUGAAUUUCAUUUGGAACUUCCCAAUCAGCCACGUCGCCAACCGGCUCCAUUGGUUGUGCAUAAACCAUCACCAACGAUUCCUUGGUGUAAUAGUCUGAACAAAGGUUUAUGUAAUCUACUCGGAUAGUCAGACAAGCCGCAAUUGCAUGAGUACAGAUAAGCUGAUCAAGCUAAAAUACUCUACAGGAGCAAGUUCUAUUUUGUAUGUCAACUAAGCCUUCCUUAAUUCCACCACCUACAACUUGAAAUUGAUGCGGAGACAUGGGCAAACGAUCAUUCUUUCAACUAUAGUUCUCUUCUCAGUGACUAUUUCAUCCACCCAUAUUAUUAGCCGAGUACUCAUUGAUUCAGCCACAAUUUUUCUAUCAUAAAAUUAUUGCUGUAAUUUUUUUCUAAAGUGAUCAACAAGAUGAGCAACAAGAAAUUUUUGCGGUUCCCUCAUGAAAGAAUUAACACUCUUCGCGAUGUUGGUGGUAAGUAUAUUGUACCUCCUAUCUUCAAACUAAGACCUUGCCUAAUUACACGUACCCACAAUAUUCUCUAAGUAAUUAGCCGCGCCCGAGUGGAGUAUCCACAACCCUUCAAGUUGCUUUUUAAAUUCUUCGUGUCCGUAUGUAUUUGCUGCAUUAAUAAAGGUAGGCUCAAAUAUAUCCGAAAGAGCUUUGGACAUCCUGAACUUUGACUUAAUAUUACCUUUCACAUGGUAAAAUCAAACGCUAUAAGUUGCAUUGUGAAAUACUUUGAUAACGACUCUCCUUAUGGCAGUGCAUCGAUCAGAGAUAAUUACCAACUCCGGCCUAUCGCCAAUCACUCCGUGUAACUUCAUCAUAAAUCAUUCACAAGCAUAAUUGUUUUCUGAAUCCAUGACCCCAAUUGUCGAUUGUUACCAUCCAGACAUGUUGUCACGAACAUGCUUCCACGAUAUAACCCAUUUAGAUGAGUAUCAUCCACAGCAAUGACAUGUCGAAUGUACUGCAUAAAACCCUUGAUGGAAGAACCAAGUGCUAGAAAGUAGUAUAAGAAAUUACCAUUUCCAUCCCGCUCGAGGUGAGUGAUUGUACCCUCAUUCGCUUUAGUCAAUACGUGAGAGUAUUUAGGAAGCAAAUUGUAUGACUCCGUAGGAUUCCUUCGAACUAUUUCAAGACCAACUUCUCUAGCCCGAUAUGCCUACUGGUAUGUUAACUGCACACUGUAUUUCUGCAACAUAUCUGCUUUGAUGUCAUUCGGAGUGUAUAUUUUUUUUUCUUGAAUAUAUUUAUUUGCGAUAAUAUGACCGACAACUCGGCUCCAUACUUGAUGACAACCAUCAACCAAUACCUCAUUAUGACAAUUGUGUAUAUUGCCAAUUCUCCUCACCACCCAAGGACCACCAUUAUGCUCGAUCGAACUUCUAAUAGAUCAAAUACGUCAUUUACAUGAUUUUGAACAACAGUGAGCCUCAAAACAUGUCGUUGUAGACCGUGCAAUCUUGAAAUCAAACUUAUCUCUAAAGGCAACCUUACGCAGUUGUAAUAUUAGCUCAUUCUUCUCAGCGAAUAGCUUACCCACACUGAUAUCAUCUGAGUUAGAACUGCUAAGAAAACUUGGAGCAACCAUGUUCGAAGGCAAAAUUGGAGCAAGACUUGUGAGGAAGUCAAUCUUCCUUCUCGAAUCGGCCAUUGGAGGAAUAGAGCGAUUGUCUCUGUUAUUCACAGGAAUAUCGUCUUCACACUCACCAUCAUGCUGCCAUAACAAAAUAUUGGAAGGACCAACACCUUCAUCAUCAUAUGCAUUAUUGAAAUUAGUGGCCCUCAUAUUAUUAGAAGGUUUUGCACAAACAUUAUCCACCUCCGUGUUGUCAAUGUCAUCAAUAGGAUCAUCAUUAUCGCGGAAAUUAUCGUUAUGAUACAAAGAAUAACCGUUGCUCCAACGACGUCGUUAGUGGUAAUACAUCUUCUCCAACAUCCACCAACGUAAUGUCGUUUUCAUCAAUGUUGUUAUUACUGUCGUGGAGUGGAGAGUAAUAUUGUUGCAAUGACGUCAUCCUUGGCAGCACCUCCUCUUCAAUAUCGGGGCCAAACAUAUUUGCUCUAAAGGAAGCUUUUGUUUCAACGGGUGGCUCAAGAUCUUCGCUCAGAACUCGAGGAGAUGUGGUAACGAAUAUAGGAAUGCAUCCAUAGUUGGCCACAUCAGAUGCCAUAUGCAAUACAACCCUCACCAUUUCAUCAUUAAAUAUGUCCAUGGGCAGUGCACACGUCCGAUAGAAUAUGUUACUAGACCUUAAAGUUAUUUUCAUUGUGAUAUUAUAUUUAUUAGGAUUUAUUUGUAAGACUUCAUAUACUCUUGCCAAAAAUUGUUCAAACAGACAAUUUUUUCCAACCAAAAAAGCUAUAUUUUUACCAUUCAUAUACUCAAUACGGCUAUCCCCUAAUGUCUCCCACCAACCAUCAUAACAUAAUUAAAGCACAAUUGAAUCCAUUAAGCCUGAAAUUAUUAAAAAAAAUUAAUUAUGCACUAUGAAACUAAUAAAGAGAUUAAAUUUUUAUAUAUAACAUAAAAAAAUAAUUGUAUGUUGGUGCGACAGGUUGUUUGUCGCACUGUCGCACCAAGAGUGGGUUAUAAUGAAUUUGUCCCUUGGUGCGACAAACUGCCUGUCACACGAUUUUGGCGUGACACACACGACUGUCGCACAAAGAGGCAGAUUCGGGUAAAUCUGCAUCUUGGUGCGAUAGUCUACCUGUCGCACCAAAAUUGUGCGACAUGUGUCUGUCGCACCUGUUUGCAAUCGCACUGAAUCAAAUUCGCAAGUUGAGAAAAUACCUCUUAUCGCUCGUUGAUAUAAAUUGGUGUUGGAUCCGGAUGGAUUAUGCUGUAUUUGAUCGGAGUUCAUUUUUACCGUUUGCCGUUGCCGUUUGCCGUUGCCGUCGCCGUUUGCCGUCGCCGGUGAUGAUUCAAGAGUGCAAGGUUACGUUUCGUUUGAUCAAGGGAGAGAAAAAAAGUUACUUUUAGUUUGUAAAUAAGGGUAAUUUGGGGUAAAAAUCUUGUGUUUGGCUAAUGUUGAUAAAAAAAUUUAGAAGGCUAAUUGUGAAAAUUGUAAAAAAUUUUAAGUUAUUUUUAUAAAUUUCCCUGUCUUUUGUAGUACAGUUAUAAAAUAAUAUCACUUAAUUAAAAGUAAAAAAAAAAUAGUGAAAGAAAUAGUUACACCUUUGUAAUAGUUGUAGAAGUUAUAACAACGAACAUAAUACAAUCGAAUAUGAUAUGAUGUGACGCAACAUAAUAUAAAAAAAUAAUGAGCUAAUUAAUGGAUAAUGUUGAGUUGACCUCUUAAAAAUAAGACACGAUAAGAAUUGGUUCGAAGCUCGAAUGACCCUUAAUUUUUUUCAAUCAAAGCAGCAUAUACAGCACAACCUUCAUCUAUAUAAAAGAAAAUUUCUACACUUUAAAAAAGGAAAAUUACUAAGAGUGCUAGUAUGUAAAGAGGAGGUCUAUGAAGUUAUAAUAAAAGAAAAUUUCAUCCGCAGGAUUCCUGAACCAGCUUAAUAAGUGAUUAUGUUGCUCAAUACAAUAUUUUAUUCAUGUCAGUUAAUAUCGCACAAGGGAUCCUGUUAAAAACAAUUAAUUGAUCUUAUGAAGAUUCGGCACAUAUGCAACGAACCUAGGGCCAAAUUCCAAGUAGAUAAUAACAUUAUCUAUGGUCCUGAAUCUUAAUUCAGUAAAGCCUUAGCAUUUUGGAAACAAUGCCCAUGAGAUAUAUAUAUAUAUGUUCGUCCGGAAACUGAAAUUAGAAAUUCCUUUGUCUUUUAAUUAUUAUGAGGUGGCACUAUUUUCUCUAAAGAGUUCUUCCUUCACCUUAAAGAAGCUCGUACGUUUCAUAGGGUUAAUUAAGAAGAGUUGAAUACAAAAAAUCAAAAGGAAAAGAUAAAAAAAUGAAUUACUAAUUGGAAAGAAGAUAGGUUUGGUGCAACAAUGUGAUCCCAAAGCUGAUACUAUUAUCAUGAUAUCUUUCUUCAGUGAUAAGAGAACAAGUAAUACAAUUGGUCUUGGAUCGAAUCUCACUCACAUCAGAAUUCGUGUGGAGUUUGGUUUGUAUUUAAGAAUUUUUCCUUUUGCAUUUUUCUUUUUAAAAAGAAUGAUGUUGUGUCAUCUUCUUUAGGACGCCAUAUAUAGCACAAAAAUGAACUGGGCCAAGCCUAUGAUAUGAAACUGAAAGAGAUUGCAGAGUGUGAAGUGAACCCCAAAACUUCUUCUAUAUCACUCUCAAUCAGUUGUGCUUUUAAGAUGAACAUUACCCACAAGAGACCACGCAAUAGCAGUUUUUGGUGAAUCUGUGAUUUCAGCAAUUUAAACAAGUGUAGGUGCUCUCAUUUUUUUUUUUAAUAAGGACAUAUUGUUAAGCCGUAGAGGUUAAUAGAGUUAUUUUUAAAUGCGUUAUAAAGCCGUGUGAUUUAAUAGUAUUAAAUUUGACUCUAUUAAACCACAUAACUUAAAAGCACAGGAAAAAAAUGAGGUUACCUACAUUAGAGAAGAACUAUAUAUAUAUAUAUAUAUAUAUAUGGGAAAUUAUCAUUGUACCACCUUUAUUUUGCCUUAUGUUCAUUCAACAACUACAAACUUUUAACAUGUACUUUGCACCACUUUUUUUUUUCACAUUUGUAUCAACUAUCCACUUUUGCAUUAACACUAUUAAAUAAUGUUAAUAAAAUAACAAUUUUACCCCAAAUAAAUUAAAAGACCAUUUUAUUUUAUAAAAACUUUAAAAAAUAAAAAAUUAUAAUGAUAAAAAUAUCCCUAAAUUUAAUAAAAAUCUCCUAAAUUAUUAAAAUUUUAGGAUUUAUUCUUUUAAGAAAUAAAUUAAGUUAUUUUAAUAAAAUUUUACAAAAUUAUAAAUUUUUAAUAAAUAAAUUCAUUUAUUUAUAUUAAAAUUUUAUAAAUUAUAAUUUUUAAUAAAAAUAAUUAUUAAAAUUUUGUAAAAUCUAAAUUUAGUAAAAAUCAGUUGAUCACCUCUAUUUGGGAUUUAUUUUUUAUUAAAUUUAUGGAUAUUUUAUGAUUAUAAUUUUUAAUUUUAAAAGUUUUUAUAACAUAAAAUAGUCUUUUAAUUUAUUUGGGGUAAAAUUGUCAUUUUCUUAAAAUUAUUUAAUAGUGUUAAUGCAAAAGUGGCUAGUUGAUACAAAUGUGAAAAAAAAAGUGGUGCAAAGCACGUGUUAAAAUUUUGUAGUGGUUGGAUGAACAUAAAGCAAAAUAAAGGUGGUGCAAUGAUAAUUUCCAUAUAUAUAUAUAUAUAUAUAUAUAUAUAUAUAUAUAAAGUAGUUUUCUGAGCCGGGAUCAUAAAGUACGGGAAACGUUCGAGAAAACUUUAAAAUCGCGGGGUUUUAAAUGUUUAAAACUUAAAGCGCUUAAACCGCAUGAUUUAUGCGUUUUCUCGAACGUUCCCGCACUUUAAAAUUCUGAAUUGGAACAUUUCUAUAUAUAUAUAUAUAGUGCAGGAUCUUAAAUUUGUUAAAGUUUGAAAAAGUUAUAAACCAUACAAUUUAAUAAGUGUUAUAACCGUAAAAGCUAUUAAAUGACAUAUUUAAUAACUUUCUCGGACUUUAAUAAAUUUUAGGAUGUUGGACCAAUUAUAUAUAUAUAUCUAUAUAUUUGUAAUCUUCCUCCUUUCAACAAAAGCAGACUGGGUGGGGCUAAUGAUCUUGGGAAACAAGCCUUUGAUCCUAUUAGCAAUCUACUUGGUAAAUACACUUAUAGAUUGUAUUGAAGCAGGAAAUAGGCUGAAAAUCUCCCAUGACUGUAGGAUUAGGCACUUUCGGCACCAAAACAAUGAUAGUGGAGUCUCUUAGACGUGAAGCAAAGAAAGACUUUUUAGUUUUUAUGGCUUCUAUUACAUCCUGAAUCACAAUCUCCCAAGCACUUUUGAAGAAGUGGGCAGAAUACCCAUCGGGGCCCGGGGCCUUGUUACUGUUAAGGGAGAACAUAUUUCUUUUAAUAUAUAUAUAUGAACUUCAAAAAACUAGUAACAUUAUAUUAAAGUGACCUCCGGCAAAAUUGGCAAUAUUAAACUUGUUGAUAAGAAGCUUAAACAAAGUGGUCCUAUAAAAUUGAUAUUAAGAAUCAUCAAUCCCUAAGUUCUAACAAUAAGCUUGGAAAAGGUAUGUAUAUUCCUGGCGUUACAGGAUUAUGCCAUUUCCCUUUGAGACCUUUUUUGCCUACGGUGUUCAAGUUCCUGGGGCCCUUUCUAACAAGUUGGAAGCUAGCUAAUAUCAUUAUGGCUUUGAAUAAUAACAUGGACCAGAAUUCCUUCUUCUUCUUUUUUUUUGGUUUAAUAUAGCUUUCGUUACGGAAAAUUUAAUUUCAUGAUUUGAUAGAAAACUCAGAAGAUGAUACUAGCAGUUCGAUCAUAUGAUUAACUAUUUUAUGUAACUAUAUAGACCUAUUAAAUAAUUUUUUAAUAAAUGCAAGUAUGAUUGGGAGGAUAUUUUUAGGUUGUACCAUUGAUGACAUUGUAUCUCUCAUAUAUUUAAAAAAGAAAAGCGGAAAAUCUCAUUGAUUAAUGAUUCUUAGAUAAAAAUAUAAAUAAAAGAAAAUAAAUGUCAUGCUAUAGAAUCUCAUUAAUACACACGUGGCAUUCUAAUCCGAAUUAUACGUAUGUGUAGAAAUUAAAUUGACCCUUUUCAAGAAUCAAGUCCCAAAGUAUGAUGGCUUUAAAAAGAAGCAUUGAGACUUUGUUCUUUUCCAUUUUUAGGUCAUGAAAGUGAAGAAGCUGCGACUUUUCAAAUGCUUAAGAACUAAGAAAUCACUACCGCCUUCUGCUGGUCCAUGGCCAAUUGCUUCUAUAAAAGCAGAUCAUAAUCAUCAUAGAGAGGGGAAUCAAUGAUUCAGAUGAAAAAGAAGAAGAUAUUAAUUGUGAAAUUGAUCUACAUAGUGCUUUUCAAAUCUUUCAGCAAUAACACUACAUAUGUAUAAUUGAGGAUAAGCAGAUAAAAGUACAAAUCUUGAUUACCAAUCAAAUGGAAUGAAGCUUUCAAAGCAUCGUUGCAUGAUAGAUAUAUUCAUAUAUUCGUCAAUUGUGCAAGUUGACAUAAGUUUUGCUGAAUUAUGAGUGGAGGAAAAAAAAAAGAAAAGUAAAAGGAAAAAAGCAUAUUUUCAUUAUUCAUAAUGAAUGGAUGAUGAAGAUUCUUCAUUAAGAUUUGAACAUACGAAAAUAUUUUCAAGGGUGACUUGGAUUUAUUUGUGAAUGCAGGUGUAAUGAAUAUCAGUCCUUUUCUAUUUUAAAUCAUGUAUAAAAUUAGAAAUAAUUGAGCCGGGUGUUUGCUUCAUUAAGAUUUAUUUCUAAUGGAUGAUGAAGAUGCUUCAUUAAGAUUUGAACAUAAGAAAAUAUUUUCAAGGGUGAUUUGGAUUUAUUUGUGAAUGCAGGUGUAAUGAAUAUAAGUUCUUUUUCUAUUUUAAAUCAUGUAUAAAAUUAGAAAUAAUUGAGCCGGGUGUUUGCAGAGGAGAAUAGAAUGGACCUGCCUCUGACGCAAUUGUUUACUAUGUGGGCUUUAUGUAGAUCUUGCCACUCGCACAGCUCAAUUAAGUUGGGCCACUCCCGAUCUCCAAAGAGAAGCUCCUUCAUUACCCAAUCACAAGAUUCAAGCACACACUACCGAUAUGUAAAAAGAAUUCUAGCUACACAUAAUCAUAGUCUACAAUAUUUACAGCGUUUUUAGUUGUAACUUCUACACACCUGGGGAAUAUAUAUGUUUUCAUUAAUCUUUAGCGAGGUAAAUUUAUAUGUUUUAUUAAGUAUCCCAACAUCUAAGUAUUAAUUUAAGUUCUAACUAAUGUGACAUUCAUUAAUUGAAUGAUGGUUAAAUAAUUUUAUAAAUUAUGAAAUCCAUAAUCCAAAAGAUGAUUCACACAUAGAAUUAGACUCAAAUAUUGAAAUCCCUAAUAUUAUUAAUUUUAUUAAGGCCCGUUAGGAAGUGCCACCAAGGCACCAGGCAGCUUGGCAGCUGUAGUGCAGUAUUCCCAAACACAAGUUACAGCUGCCACAGGCCCAUAGAAGCAUGAAUUUCUUGUUUUUGCAGCAGCGCAACACUCCCGAACAGCCCCUAAAUCUGUAGUGGGUCCUCAAUAAUUUAUGAAGAGUGCAAUUCAAUAGACUACUUGCUAAUGCUGAGUGAGUGAAUACUAUAUUUUCUACGCUUAAAAAUACGUUAAAAGAAAAAGGGACGAGAAAACAAAAAAAAUAGACGAGGUUACCAUUUGAGUUAGAUUUGGGAUCCAAUUGAUUUCACGUAGCUCAAGAAAAGAAAAGGAAAAUAUAGCCAAUGACAAUCCCAUCAAAUAUAUGUCAAAAAUAAACUCUUAAAUGCAAUCAUUGAUAUUUUGUGUAAGAUAUUUCUUCAAGGAAUCCACUUUCAAUCUUUACUUCUUUCCACCUGUCCUUGUGGAAUCAUAAUGCAACCAAAGACCAUUUCUAAAGUGUGUACCUCUUCUUCAUCUACACGAGUGCUACAAAAGAUAAAGCCAACAAUAUAUCUUUCUUCGCUAAAAACUUAUCAUCUAUCAUAUUAUACUAUAAUGAUAAAAAUACUAACUCAAUACAGCUGGCUCCUUCAUAAUCUUAUUGACUUUGUUUACACCCAACCAGGCAGGCACCAUCAUAAUCCUCAAAGACUCAUUUCCCCACCAUAGCAUUAAAAGCUUUUAGCCUUGAGGAACCCACAAUAUUUUAUUAGCUUUCCCAAUCUAUGCACAGCCCCAUUGUACUAUCAAAACCAAGAAAUCAAUACUGAACAUUUUUUUUUUCAGUCUUAGAGGAAUCAUUUUACAAUCAAUGAGCAUGGAUUGAUGAUGGAACGAAUGAAAUUUUUUUACAAUUGCGUCGGUUUUUUUUUUUUAAAAAAACUUAAAUUAGCUCUACUAUGUUGUAGUUUGGACAUAUAAGUUCAGAAUGAUCAGAUCUAUUUUUAAAAUGGAAAAUCUACAUUGAUAAUAAAUGUUAGACAACUCGAACUUUGAUAUAAAAAAUAGAGUGAGAAAAUACCCCGCUUGACUGAGAAAAGUGGUUUGUAGAAUUGCAUUGUUUUUGUAACUCAAAAAGAAAAUUUUGAUGGUUCAUUGAACACUGCUCAACUUGUCGAAACUCUACACCUAUGGGGCAAAGAAUGGUAUUUGGUGGGUGGGAUUUCUCAUUUUUAUUUAAACCUUUUUUAGGAAAAUAAAUCAAUUAAAUUCGAUUACCAUAAUUAAACAUGCUAUAGAUCUAAUAAUCCUACUUUCUGUGUUACAAAUAAUUGGGAUCCCACAAACUGUAUUUGUAUUGAUAUCCUAACAAAGCUAGCUACUUGUGGGAAUCGCUAUUUGCUACCAAAGGGCACAUAAUUAUGAGUUUUAGCCAUAUUGUCUAAGUUGUCAUAACAACUCUACCUAAAUAAAUCUGUACAGCAUUGUGAAUUCAUUGUUUAUAAUUUCAUAUUUGCAACUCAUUUAAUUAAUAAUAACAGUACUAUGAACAUAACGUGAUAAGACUAGUUAAUAAUCAAUGGGUCAAAUAAAUACAGUAUAUGAAAUCUAUCUUUUAAUGUAAAUUGAUUUUCAACAACCGUACCAAUAUAUAAUUAGAUCAAUACAUAGACCAUUAUUACUACUCCUGGACUAGCAAUUAAAGGAUUUCAUAUCUGUGGAAGUGGGGUAGAGGUGAGCUAUAUGUAUUUGUGAUUGUAGUUGUACAGGUUAAAAUUUCUGACGCUUCAUAAUUUAGGACAUAUGUACCAAUGCUACUGAGAGAAUGGCCUUUAACAUUAAUGCAUUCAAAUUGAAGGCAGAGGGCAGCAUAUGUUGUAAGUCUUAUCUAGUGGACAUGCUUAGUUGUUGCUGAUACAUGUUGCGAUUUGCUGCUGCCAUAGGACAGCUUCACAAGUUUGUUGCCUAAAUGUUUUCUCUUCUUCAUGUGGUUCAGUAAGUUAUGUUAAUAUUUUCGGCUUAUACAUAAUUACCAAAUUAAGAGAUGAAUAUGUAAUUUUCGCCAACAUAUAAUAUGCAAAUUGUAUUUGUUGGCGCUUAGUGAUCAUUGGUAGGUAUAGCGGUUUGGAAGGCGACAUAAUCAAGUUAAAAGAAUGAGUUGGUGCAAGUAAGAUAAGCAAAUAUUUGAGAGAUUUGGUGGUCUGAACAUGCCUAAAAAGAAAAGGAAAAUAAAAAGAAAGAGGAAACAAACCCAUAUGGCCUUGUGAGAAUUGCAAAGAUCCUCCAAACAAACCCAAAGGCCUAGUGGUCUCCUCAUCUUCAAUCACUUAUCUCCUCAUACUAAAAUAUUCCGAUGUUGCCUCAAUGGUCUCACUACAAAAAUCCUCUUCAUAAAUUUUAUGUCUUUUUUCUCAAUGCUUAACUAAAGACCUCAUGUGAUUAUGUCUCUCUUAUAUUGCCUAAUACACAUAUACAUAUAUUAAAAGAUAAUCCUAAGUUUAUAUUAUUUAUCAAAAAAUUGGGUUACCUUCUUUUUCUGUCUUUGAUUCUGGAAGCACCCUUUAAGUUAAUUGGUUGAAGCUGGCAUAUCUCAAAGCAUUUCUACUUUUAUUAGGACAACUUUUUUUAAAAAAAAUUAAGUAUAUAUUCACAGAUAUAUGAAUCUACAAUCACUCUGCAACUCCACCCGAAAAUAAAAAGUUAAGUGAAUGUGAAUGGGAAUUAUUGGAGAACUAAAGAAAGCCAAUUGAUUUUUAUGUUUAUGAAGCCAAUCCCUUUUAAAGCUCCUAUAUAUAUCUAUAUAUAUAUAUAUGCGCUAAGCUAGCUGGGAAGAUUGAUUCCCAUUCCCUAGCUGGGUGGAAUGUUUAGCUUCAGAUUUUAUAUGAAUGCGUCUCAGAUGAAGAUUUUAUGCCAUAUUAAUUACUUUAUCUUGACACCCAUAACUCCAUCUUAUUCUUGUUCUCUCAACGAAUCAAUAAAGUUAAUUAUCCUGAGAUCAAUCCAUUUACCUUAUAAUUAACUACCAUAUGUUACAACGAUCGUGUAUGGAAAACUUGAGGUGUACAAUAACAACUUGAGAUGCUUAUAACAUAAUAUAUAAUGGUUGUAAUAUUUUUCUAAAUAAGCUAAAGGGAGUAAUUGUAAGACAUGAUAUGGAGAAGUUGGGUCUAAGAUAUGGAAAUUGUCUUUACUACUGUCUUUCGAUAUUGCAGCUGGCAAAUGGCAUAUAUUGUCUUUGACCAGUCCAUUCAUCACAUCGAAUUCUUGACUCAUUCUGUAUCCAUGCAUGUAUCCAUGCAUGUGUAUUAUAUUUUCUGAAAAAAAGUAAUGACGCUUCUUUUGCAAAUGUGUCUCUUCUCUUCUUAUCCUUAUACUAUUCAUUUUUCAUUCCUUUGGCUAACUGUGCAAUUUUUUUUUUUUUUUUGGGAAGCUAUAGCUUUCCCCUUUUUCUUUACUUUAUUUUGUAUCUUUUUGAUAUAUUUUCCUUUUCUUAGGUAAGUCAACUUUUAUAUUCAAAUUUCAUCAAAUUCUACUACUUUUAAUUUGUCCCUUCAUUAAAAUAAAAUUUAAAAAAAUCCUCUACUUCUUAGUUUGUACAAUCUUAUGAUAGAAUUAUAAUUUAAACUAUUUCUUUUUUUUAAUGUUUAAUGAUGAAAAAAUCUUCAAUCCACAUUUUUGAUAAAAUUAGGACACAUUAUUGUAUUAGUAAAUCACUUUUUAAUAACACACAAUAAUGGCGGUAUAAAAAAUAUGGGAAGACCUACCUUAAUUUAUCAUAAUAUAAAUGAGCCUAGAAACCCAACUUAAGAUCAACUCCUAAAGAAUGAGAAAAUUUUACUCUCGUAGCAUUUGGAAAAAUUUGAAUUCUUAAUCUCAAUAAUGUGGGGAUGAGGUACCCACCACUCGACUAAAGAGUGGUUUAUUAUUUAAAUACAUUCGUGUAUAACUUAUUCUAUAUUGAUAUUUUUAAUAUUAAAAACACACUCUGGGAUUAGUAUAAUAAUUAAUUGGAUAAUUUGCCACUUCAUUGAUUCAUUUAAUUACAUAAUUAAAUGUGAGAUCACUAAAGUUUGUAGAAGUUUAAAUCGCUUUUGUUUUCAUACCUUAUAAGGAUAAGAGGAUACACAAGCGCUAGAGGGUUACAACCUAUCAACAAGGCUAGGUACCAAGUAAAUCUAGGCAAGUCUUUUGAAACGACUAGGCUAGAUAAUAAAAGGUUUAUUAUUCAAGAGAGUGGAAUCUGACAUUCCCCAUUUAAUGGGGCCGAACCUAGAAAUUUCACAAGUUUAGACUAUGAGAGGUUGUUUUCACUAGCUUUUUACAGGAACAUGAUUUAUAUUAAAGUCCAUAAUCGCAAAGAAUGCUGUAGCUUACUGCCUUAGCACACGACCCUCUCUCCAUAGGCCACCCAGUCUUGUCUGAGACCCUACUCUUGCCAAAAUGUCACAGAAAUAUUUAAUAAAAUGUGAAAGAAAUGACUGAUAUGAAGAAGAUGAAAUUCAUCACAACCCUCCUUACAUCAUAAGCACUAAUUGCACAAAAGGAUGAAUUUUCGGUCCAAAUGAUAAAAGAUAAAAUACAGAGAAUUGUGUAAAUUUAAAUGUAUUGAUUUAGUAAUCUUUUAGAGCUUGAACGUCUGUAUUUUAUAAUAUUUUAUUUUUUUUAAUUUGAUGUUAAAUAUGGCCUGUCGGAAGCGACAUAAAAAAUGUAGAAAGAAAAUAAAAGGGAAAACUGAAAGAAAAAUCAUAUUCGGUGGCUUUCUCUGUAGAUAGAGGCAUCAAAUGUUAGAAUGCGUUUCUUCGCCACUUGGAAUGCAUAUAUUAUUAAUUAUUAAUGCAUAAUGAAUCCAUUGAUGCAAAUGUGCAAGUUCAGAUUCAAUUGAUUAUAAUUUCAGAUUUCAGUUGCACAAUUUAAAUAAUGAUUUUAGUAUAAAGAAGUCCAUCGCCAAAUUUAUACUUAAAAGUUAGUUCAAGAAUGCCUCAAUAUCAUAUUAUUAUUAAGUAAAUUCUCUGAGUCGUAAAAUAAUAUCCUCAACACCCCUUAUUAUAUUGAUGUGACUUAUGAGCUCAUGUUUUGCCUGGUUCUUAUCCGGUAGUAAGUUAGUGUGAGCUUAUUAUGUGGGAGAUUGUCAAUUUCUCCCCUACAGUAAUCAAUAUAUAUCAUUCACCCCAUGUUAUUUUUAUAAUAACUAAUAACUCAUUUGACAGUAUAAGUUUAUAAUAUUUCCUCAAUUUUCAAAUACACUUUUAUUUAUAUUUAUUAUAAAUUAAAUAAAUCAUAUGAAUAGAAAAUAAUUAAAAAUUGAGUAUUAAAAACAAGAGAUAUAUGUUUUGAUGUGAACAAAAAAAAGUAAUAAUAAAAUUUUUUCUUGUACUUUUUAUUUUGUAAACAUUUUCUUAUAAUAAAUAAUUUAUAAUAUUUUAAAAUUGAAUGUAAAAAUUACAAGAAAAAUAUUUUAUUAUUUAUUUUAUAAUGAUUUUUUAUUGAUCAUUGAAGUUUUCUUAUAACAUUUUUAUCAUUUUAUAAUAAUUUUCUUACAUAUUUAUUAUAAGAAAAUGUUUAUAAAAUAAAAAAGUACAUGAAAAAUAUUUUUUUAUUAAUUUUUAAUUUUUUUCACAUCAAAACAUAUAUUUCUUAUUUUUAUACUUAAUUUUUUAUUUUAAUUUCCAUUCACGUGGUUUAUUUAAUCUAUAAUAAAUAUAAAUAAAAGUAUAUUUGAAAAUAAGGGUACUAUUGUAAACUUAUAUUAUCAGGAGAGUUAUUGGCUAUUGUAAAAACAACGGGGGGACAAAUCGUAUAUAUUAAUUACAGUGGGGGAAAAUUGGCAAUCUCCCCUUAUUAUGCUGUUAGUUUUAACUUAUGUCAAAUAAAAGCUCAUUGACUUAACUCUUACUCAAAAACUAACUCAAGAGUUGAGGAUUACCUCAAGCUAAUUUUAUUAGCCCAGUAUCUAUUUUUGAAUGUCAGAUAGUAUCAUCAACAUAAUAAUACUAGCUUAUAUAAUUGAUUUAAUUUUAUAUAAAAGCUGUCUUUUGGAAUGUAUAGUCUGGCAUAAUUACUUGAUUAUCAUAUCAUUAUUUUCUAAUAUUAGUAAAUAAUGAUUCUCAUGUGAACAAAGUUCGAACUUCACCUCUUGUAUUCUUAAAAAAAAUUCUUAUUUCAAUUAACUGAUUCCUGUAUCAUAGAGAUCAUUAUUACAAAUAUUAUCUCAAUGUCAAAACAAUAAUGUUGAUAGACAAGACAAUUCGUAAAAUUAUUUUCAAUCAGCAUUCACUUAUUAAUAAUCCAUGAUUAUUAUCACUGAUUCUAAUAAUAGUCGACAUCCUCAAUGGUAUUUUUUUUCCCAUUAAAUACGUGUAAGAAUCGAUCGCAAUAACUUCUAAACCAAAAAAUAUCUUAAGGGGUAUAAUCAAUUAUCACUAAUUAGUGGAAUAAGUUCAAACAUUGAAAUAUAUAGAAAAUAUAUAUAUAUAUUAUAUCUUUCAUUUAUAUCCUCUAAUUCAUAAAUGUUUCUAUCCAAAUCUCUGAAGUAAAAACCUACUAGAAGAGUAGAACGUGCGGUGGCCAGUGAUAAGUUGAGCCGGCCAUUAAUGUUCUGAAUAUUGUAUGAAUCAUGCCAGUAGGUAAGGUGUCAUUACUUAGGGCAUGCCACCUAGCAUUUGUUAACACUAAAAGUAACUGGGGCCAUUCCUGAGAAAUCUCGUCAGUUAAAAGCAUUUGUGUAUAACAAAUAAAAGAAGAAAAAAUAAAUUUGAAUGCACAAAGCAAAAUUAACUCCUAUUUCUAUUUAUAUAUUUCUUUUAAUUAGAAGAAAGGAUUGAUAAACGUCACCGCAUCACAAAAAGCCACGCGGAGGCUAUGAACAACAACAAAGUUUCGAGUUACUUUCGUUUAUAUAAAGUACAAGAAUAUGAUGUGAACAUAAUAAAGAUAAGCUCGUUAGUUUUUGUACUUGAAGCUUUAAUUCUUGGAACUUUUUUCUUCAAGUGUUUGAAUCAACAAGAAAUGCUACCUUGUUUUGCGGGUUAUUGCCUGCUUCACCGCUAUUUCAUUGCAUAAAUUACGGGAUAGUAUUUGGUUGAUGCUGAAAAGAAAGAUGAGGCCAAAAAAAAAGGCAGCAAUUAUAUGUAUAAAGAUUGAUCAUAGUACAUAAUAAGUUGUGGUACCAGGAUUCUGGGUCAACAAAACAGAAGUCAUAAUAGAGAAAUUAUAAGUUUAGAUUGUUAGAAUGGGAAAAAAAAAAUGUAAACUAAAAGGGGUCCAGUAUCUGAGGCCUCAACAUAGCUCCGCCUAUCUUUCUCUUUUUUUUUUUUCAAUGCUAGUUAGACAAUUUAACUAUAUAGGAGAAAUAAUUGAUGAAAAUAAAUAAUACGGGCAUUUGAUAAUUAUAAUUUGUAUAUAUUAGUUAGAAGGAAGAGUUUGUUUCCUUAAUAAUAUUUUAUUCUAAAAACCCUUGGUUCUAGUAUAUCUGGUCUGGUGACACACAUCUUUUUAAAUAUUAUAGAUCCUUGAAUAUGCACAUAAAUGAUGGAACUUGAGAAAUGAUAUUCAUCUAUUGUUAAUAAUGAAGAGAUGUUCAAACCAUCCAUUAUGAUAAAAACCAUCACAUAUUUUGUUCUUAAAACGAAAAAGAAUGAAAUGAUAAUAAUGAAGAAAUGAAAAUGAAGCACAUUGGUGCAAUAAAGGAAAGCAAGGUAGCCCAUGUAAUAGGUGCAUAAAUGAUUAGAAAUAAUAAUAGCCGCUAGUGGAGUGGAUGGAGCAAGAGACACAACAAUCACCAAAACUCCCAAGUUCAGCUGAUAUAAUUUCUCUCUCUCUCUCUCUCUCUCUCUCAAUAAAUCUGCUUAUAUAUAAUAUUAAUAACGAGGGCGUCCAAGAACUAUGAUUCCCUACACAUCGGAUCUGCUGCAAUCUCUCAUUGCCUCUCAAUACACCCAUCUCUCCCCUCUAUUAUUUUUUGCCCAUUUAUCCAUUAAAGAUAAGAUUGGAGCUCGUACUAUCGAAUUUUGGGCACAUUAAUUAUUCAUAUAUCAUCAUAUUUAUCAAGCUUGCAAUAGAGAGACUACAAAAGAAAUAUGAUUAAACAAAUCGUGCAGGGAAAAUUGAUCUUUCGUAUUUCGAAAGGUCACAUAAUAUAUAUUUUUGGUGGCUGCCGUAUGCCUCAUUUUGGUUGCAUGGGGAUUUUUUUUUUUGUAUCAGUACUGUAUUUUCCCACAACGGAGAAGAAGCUUGCUCGCCAUACAAUUUGAUUGGACCACCGCGGCAUAUAAUAUUCAUAUGAAUUAUAUAAUUAAGGCCGGAGAAUGACAUUUUCAUCAUUUUUUAAAUUGUUUUUACAACUUAAAGUCUUGAUAAUUUUGGGUAUCUCAUGUCAACAAUAGUGAUAGAAAAACUAUUAAAAGGUAAAUGUGUAACAUUUUAUAUAGAAUUAUAAAUUAAUUACUCAAGACCUCUACAAAUUAAAAUUAAUUAAUUUGUGUGUCAAAAUGUCACAUUUACAAUAUAUUUUUUCUGCUAUAUUAUAACAUCAGUGAUGAAAUAGAAUAUUAAAAAUUUAUUAGUAACUAAGCGGUAAAAUAAAAAAAAUAAAGAGGGACCAAAGCGUCAUUCUCAACAUAAUUUAAUGGAGUCAUGAAAAGCAAUUAUUACCAAGUGAAAGAAAUAUGAAGAAAUAACUCAAAAUGAUGAAUAUCAAGAAAAGCCCACUUGCCUAACUUGAUUUUAAAUGGAUCCUACAAGGAAUAAUACUCACUGUAAUUGAUGGUAUGAAAUCUAAAUAGAAUCCAAAGGAAACCAUUAGGGAUAAAAACACUGUACGGGAAAAUAUUAGUCAAUCCAAAUAUAUUAAAAGUAGAAAGGAACUUGAGUGAUCGUGAAAAUGAAAGACACAAUAAAAAAAUUGGGGGGACACCCAAUGGAUAGUUUUCUGUUGAUCAAGACCACAUAGAAAGUGACAUAAGAAUUGAGAUGGUGAAAAUUAGGCCCCAUUUUGCCUUUAGUUGUGGUACAAGGUCAUGUGUAUGUAUAUGCAGCUAGAGGGAGACUGAGACUUACUCAUAAAAGUAGAGAGAAAGAUGGAGUGAGGACCCCAUUUGGUGAUAAUGCAAGUAGCCUUCAUCCUCCCUGGACUUGUUCCCACAAGUCCAAAUUAAAUAUUGUGCACCUUAUAUUCCAUAUACUGCUUCAAAGCUAUUUCAAAUGAUGCAUAAAUACUCAAGAUUUGAACUUUAGGGUUUCUAAUUGUCAAUUCAUCAAGUGGCUGCAUACAUUAUUGUAGAUGUGCUGCUUAUGGUAUGACUACUUUUAAUAGUAAUAAUAAAGGAUUAUAAUUAAAUAGCAUAGUCUAGGCAUAAAGUUAUUUAUUGAAGAACUAUUGGAGGAAAUUAAGUACGUAGUACAGUAGUACUCUCGACUAUGCUACAAUUAGUGAAUAAACAUGAUCAUUAUGUCAUAUCAUUAUGGCAAUAUUUUUCUUUUUUUCUUGUAACAUUACUGCGUAGCUAAAGAGUCAAUGAGAGUGAUUGAUUAGCUCAUGGAACUGAAUUUCAAAUGUUUUACUAGGUAACAUGUGGUGACAAAUAACCAAAAUUAAAAAAAAAAACUCAAAAUAUAUUUUAAUUGUAAAAAUACUUAUGUCGCUUUUCUAAUUUAGAUUAGAUAUCGCUUCAAACCAACUUUUAGAUUAUAUAAUUUUUUUUAAUUAAUCAAUCACUUUCUUAGACCUUUUCUAAAUUUGAACUAUAAAUUUAAAAGUCAUCCUUAAAAUUAAUAUGGAUAAUGUGAAUGAAGUAAACUCGCAUACACUUUACGACAAAAAAAAAAAUGAGACUUAAAUCUAUCAAUUAAAUCUAUCGUAUUCAUGUCAAUUGUCUUUUACAUACCUUAAUCAUAUUUUUGUUUUUGUUUGAUUCAUGUCGAGCAAAGACCAUAAUUAAUGAAUUUCAAUAAAAUAAUUGGACUUAAACCCAUUACAUAUAUAUUUAAAAAAAGAGAGGAAGUUAGUGAUUUUAAUUAGAAAGUUAGUUACAUAAGCAUACUAAUCAGUAACAAAGAUACUAAAUAAGUUAAUAAUAAUAAUAAAAGCACCCUGCUAUUUUAGGAAGGGGCUGACAAAUCCUUAAUACCCGCAGAAUCUCAAGCCGAAGCCUGUAAUACUACUUUUGUUGUAAACACGCGCUUUUUGUACUCGUAAAAAGCACGUGACCAAUAAUUAACAGCGGUGAAGUCCACCUUCCCACGUGUAGAGUGGGAGGAAUCUGUCAACAGUUAAGCUCUUACAACUUCCCAGGUACGAAACCGCCAAUCACGAUACUCUAGACCCCGUUUGAAUGCGUCGAGUGACACGUCAUCGACAUGAUAUGUCAGAUCCGAAGCACGAGACGGUGCCACGUGUAAGAAUCCAUGUGGUUGGGGACGUAACAGACGACUGGUUUCCCGCCAUCCUUCUCGGGCCCAAAAUCCUAAACACACUGCCGCAUGCACUGAUUAUAAGAUGAUCCAUUUGUGAGUUCCCAACUCCCCAUGCAACUCCCUUCGUUUUUAUUUCUCAAAAAAAUAAAAUAAAAUAAAAGGGGAAAAAGAAAUGAUACCAUUGUUGGGAAUCAUGAAUCUUCGUGAUCAUUGAAUAAUAAAAUAUAUUUGUCACAAGGAAGGAUACUAAUUCGUUCUAUUCCGUAUUUUUGAGUUAUUUUUUUUAGUAUUCUAACUAUUCUCACUUGUAUUUGGUAUAAAUUUCUGAACGAUGCUAAAAAGUCUAUAUAAAAUGAUAUUGUGAUUAUAUGGACUUACAUUCUCGGUAGACGUACGCUUGAUUAUAAUGAGGAUAAAUUUAAAUUAAACUAAAGAAAAGAAUCUUUAAAGUGAUCAAAUGAUUCGAUUAAUAAAUUAAUUUCCAAUAAUUAUCAUCUCAAUCUAAUCAACUAAUAUAUUUGUGCUAAAUAAUGCUAAACUCAACCAAAUCAACUAACAAAUAUUCCUUUUAAAGGUUUUAUAAUAGUUUGACUUAUCUCUUUCGUGCAUGAAAAAACGAAUAAAUUUUUAUCUCUGUGUAAGUCAAAUUCAAGAUGUUAAUAUUUACGCAUCUCUCAUAACAAUCAUUCUGCCGCAAUUUUUCUUUUUUGAAAAUCUAAUUAUAUCUGUCUAUCUUGACUUUGAUUUAUGACCAAUACGAGCACUCAUCAGCAGAUAUUACAAGCUUAAUUUAGUAAUAAUGGAUCAUAAAGUUAACCAACAUCCAAGACACAUCACUUACAAUAUUUAUAUCUAAUUAGAUGCACCGUUUUCAUAAUUCUUUCAUAUUUUUUCUUUAAAAUCCUUUACAAACAUAACUUUAAAUAUAUUCCUUGAAAUUUUCAAAGACCAGAGAGAUGCACAAACCAUUACUAAAAAUUCAAAUUUUAAUACCCACUAGAAUUUCUUUUCGAGAACUCCACUCAUUUUUGUUGUUGUUGUUCUUCUUCUUUACCACGGUCAAUGCCAAAGAAACAGCAAAAACUAACGCCACUUUCUCUCUUACAAUUUACAGCUCAAAGCAAAGCAAAGCAAAGAAGUGGCAAAAAACCAAACCCAACCCCUCUCUUAUCUCUCCCCACCGUCCAUGCUUCGGACACUCCCACGUGGCAGUCAUGUCAGUGGGUCCCAUCUCCCACGGCCUCUGGUUAUGGAUACAUUCCCAUGGCUCUCUCCCCCAUUUUCCCCCCUCUCUCUUGUCUCUCUCUUCCUCCCUCUCAAUAAAUAUUAAAUAAAAUACAUACAUUAAAAAAAAAAUCUUUUUUUUUCAUAACAUUAAUAAUAAUUCCGGUGGAGUUUCUGUCAUAUUCCGGCCACUCACUUUUUUUCUUUCUAUAUAUACCCCACUUUCACUUUCCCAUCAAUACCCUCACCAUUUUUUUCUCUCUCUUUUAAUUCAUUCCAUAAAGAGCCACUACACAUAUACAUGUAUGCACAUAUAUGUAUAUAUAACACGCCUGGGGCUCUCGUAUAAUAUAUAGUACAAAAUCUCUUCUUCACAAUGAACUCGUGUUAAUGUGUUAAAGCUCAUCAUCAUCAGCAGCAGCCUUACGAUAUCGUACAAUCACAAAACCUAACCCACCCUUGGUCGUCAUCACCAUUUCAACUUCUUCUUUUCUCUUUUCUUUUUGAUUCAUAAUAAUAUUAGGAGUCUUGUAAUUGUUUUAUUUUGUGGAAUGAUGAAUAGAGGGACGUUGCUGCCAGAGAUGUUGCACUGUGCGGACAUUACAGUACUUGAGAGGCAACGUGCCCGCUUGAAAUGGCAACAAGACCAGCUUCAGCAGCCGCAGCAGCAGCAAGAGCUUCAACAACAACAACAUCAAGAGCAGCAGCAGCAGCAGCAGGAAGUGCGUUACUUUAGUGAGUUGAGUCAGUUGAUCAGCCAGGGUUAUGACGAGGGUGGCUUGAUGAUGGGGCAACAAGUGAAGCCCGACCCGGCUUUUGAAAACGGGUGGCCUGACUUGGGAAAGAUUGUUGCCCCUGCUGCCGGCUACGGAUUUGGGCCUGGUUUUGAGGCCAGUUAUGCCAUUUCAAGAACCUCUAGUUCCCCACCGGCGGUGGUGCCAGAGGCCGUGGAUGUGAAGGGGAAGGUGUCAGUGGCUGCUUUGAAUGAGAAGGUGAGUGCUGCGGUUGGAAGAGAAAGCUUCAAGAAGAGGAAAGCUGAUAAGGUUCAAAACACAAAGGUUUGUUUGAGCUUAUUUUUUUAUUAUUUUUUUGGCCUAAUUUAAUUUUAUAUGAAUUAUAAGGGAAAGUUUUGACAAGUUUGGUCUCUAUAAAUGCUUAUUAAUUGUUUAAUUAAUUAUAGGUUGCUGUAGAAGAGAACACUAAAGACAAAAGGAUGAAAGGAUCAGCAGAAGAGGGAGACUCAUCAAAAAUCACAGAGCAAAACAACAACAACAACAACAACAGAAGCAACAGCAAUAAUAAUAAUAAUAAUAAUAAAAAUAAUAAAGAAACUUCUGCUGAUACUUCAAAGGCUUCUGAGGUUCAAAAGCCUGAUUACAUCCAUGUCCGGGCUCGCCGCGGCCAAGCUACUGAUAGCCACAGCUUAGCUGAAAGAGUGAGUUUUAAUUUCACCAGAAAGUAAAAUCUUAUGAACAAACUUAAGUUCAUUAAUCUUGCUCUGUAAACAAGUCUAAUUCAAUUACCUGUAUUGGCAGGUGAGAAGGGAAAAAAUCAGUGAAAGAAUGAAGUAUUUGCAAGAUUUAGUACCAGGAUGCAACAAGAUCACAGGGAAAGCUGGAAUGCUUGAUGAAAUUAUCAAUUAUGUUCAGUCUCUUCAAAGACAAGUAGAGGUAAAAAGAAAAAUAAAUAAAUAAAAAUAAUUCAUCUCAAUAUUCAUUUUGCUUAUUUCUACAUAUUGUUAAUCUUUAUAAUCAUCUAUCUCAAUAAUUGAACAGUUCCUGUCGAUGAAACUAGCUGCUGUAAAUCCAAGGCUUGACUUCAAUGUUGACAACUUAUUUGCCAAAGAGGUGUGAGGCAACAUUUCAAACUCAAUCUCCCAUGUUACAUUUAUAUAUAAUUGCUUAUAAUUGAUUGAUUACUUGUUACAUAUAUAUUUAUUUUCACUAACGUUUGAUAUUAAUUUGACUCAUUAGGCCUUUCCCGUUUGCCCAUCAAAUUUUCCCACAAUUGGAAUGUCAUCAGAAAUGACCCAUCCGGCAGCCUAUCUUCAUCAGUUCAAUUCUUUACAACAAGAAGCUGUUUCAUGUUCUGGUUUGGAUUUGGGAAUCAUUAACCCUUCUGAAAUGGGGCUCAGAAGAACCAUCAGUGCUCCUGUAUCGGCCCCGGAAACAUUUAUUGACUCAUCUUGCUACCCUGUAAAUAGUUUCCUCUCCACUCUUUAAUUUUCUACUUUUCAAUUUCUGUGCUGUAUUAAUUCUUUUUACUCACAUAGGUAACACUUAAUUAAUUUACAGCACUUACAGCCCUCUUCAAAUUGGGAUUCUGAUUUGCAAAACUUCUACAAUGUGGCAUCUUUUCCAUCUCAGCAAUUUACAGGUAAUUAACUAAAGAGAAAUUGCAUAUAUGUGUCUUGUCAAUCUUUUCUGUUGAUUAUUUUUCACGUUUUAAGGCAGAAAUUGAAUCAACAUAGUGGGUUUAAUUUAACAACGGACGAUGGAGACCUUAUAGAGCCCCACAAUUGCUAAUGAUUUCACUUUGGAAAAAAUUGGGUCCUCUUGCAAACUUUCAAAUAUCUUUCUCAUUCUAAAAUCAUUAAACCCAUAGAUUUUUAUUGUUUUUAAAAUUUUUUGUAAUAUUCCCACAAAUGUUUUUCAACAAAGGUGACAUUAAAGGUUGUCGUGCAUCUUGGCUACCCCAUGACUCAUUAACUAUCUAUCACUACCUAUUAAUGGUGGAUGUACAAUAUACAAAGACAUAAAGCUAACUGGGGUCCCCUUUUGUAUAAGUGCUAAUUCCAUUAUAUAAAUUAUCAAAACGAUCUUAAUAAAUUUGAUGAAAUUUUACAUUUCUCAAAAAUUUCUAAAAUGGGCAUUCGUGAAAAUGAUCUAACUCAAGUCAAUUGACCUCAUGCAGGUACCCUUGAAGCUAGCAAUCUAAAGAUGGAGAUGUGAAUCAAGAGUAUUCAUCACACGAUUUCUUAUGACAGAUUAUUGCAGAUGCCUUUGAUUCAAAUUCUUUUCUUCUUCUCUAAGUACAUAGCGUAUAUAUAUUUUGUAUGUAUACUUGAGACAAGUACAACGAAUAAGACUAAUACCUAUUAACUUUAACCUUUUUUCAUUCAAUUGUGUGAUCACAGCAUGCUGAGUUUUAGUUAAAAUUGAAUAGUUGAAUGCAGUUAAAGAUGAUAGCGAUGGGAUUUCAAGAAAAUAAAAUAAAAUAAAAUAAAAGAUGAUAGCGAUGGAUGCAGGGGACCAAAGCUUAAGCAUUAGUGGGGUUGGAAAAAAAGACUUGAGAUAGGAAAUGCAAGCAGGAUGAGACAUCUUCAAUUCACAUCCUCCGCAACUUAUAAUUUUUUUCUUUCCUAUUCAUCUUCUUAAUUUUUUACUAUAUGCAAAAUCAUUUUGUGGACAAAAUUACGCAUGGAACAUUACAGCAAUCUAGUUCAUUAACUUCGCCUACACCACUUUAAUUUUUUUAAAUUGUUAUAAACUAUAGAUAUAUUACAACUUAAAUCUACUAGAAUUUUAGGUAUAUAUGCUUUGUAGUACAACAGAGAAGUCUGCUAAGCAUUAACUUUAAAAUCUGCUCCCACUAAUGCUUGAGGAGUUAUCUUAUUCAAAGGGAAUGAGCUCCAUGGGGCUCAAACAUAUUCAUGUCCUCAAUAUGUGAAGGACAGGAGUAUUACAAACCCAAUGACUAAGUGUCACGUUACUUGAAAAUAAUUUUUUUUUUUAAACAUUAUUUAAAGAAGCACAACAUUUCUUCCUAAUUUAAUUUAUUGUUUAUCUUAGUUAUCUUACUUCAAAAGAAAAAAAAUCAUUUUUUUUAAAGAAAGUAUGCCUUUCAUUAAAGAUGAAUGCACUAUUUUACUAAAUUCUUGAUGUGUGCAUUUAUAUCUCGAGUCUCAACCAAUCAAAAUAUAACAAAUGCGCACAUGGUAAAAAUUAAACUUGUGGGAAUGUGGAGUGGUUUAGACUGCCAAUCGAUAAACCAUGUGAUAAAUAAAUAAUUGAAGUAACCAAAGCUGUCGAGAGAGAGGCCUUGAAAGAGCUUAGGGUAACUAUUUAGCCAAAGACGAAAAGCUUGCACGGUACUUCUUUUUUAUGGAGAGUUUGUACUGAUGUUAAUUGUCAUAAUGAUGAUAAAAUACUGCUGUUAUCUCACUAUCAAAUUGGCUUUACAUCUUAUAUUACACAAAUUUACUUUAAAUUUCAAGUUUUACUUUUCAUUGCGAAAUGUUUGUAUUCCAUUAAAAAAAUUCAUUUAUUGGGUGUUGUAACUUUCAAACUACCGUUAUUAUGAAAAAAAUUGUAAUUAUAAAAUAAAAGUAGAUAGUGUAUUGUAAAUAUAUAACGUUUAAGUAAUAAUUUGGACAAAUAUAGUAAAAACAUUAUAAAUUUUUUAUCAUAUUAGCAUUCGCUUAAAUCAAUUUAAUUUUCAAGUCACAACGGCUAAUUUUUACCGAAUACUUAAGUGUUGUAGUUUAAAAUCUAGUUUCAAUACCAAAUUGGGCAUUAAUGAAUGAGAAAGGGGCAACUCGUGGGCUGCGGCGAGUGGGGGGACCAAUGAGAGUUGCACAACUAAAUAUUGAAUGUAUAUUCUUCUAAUUCUCACACAACAGCCUCAAGGUUUUAUUUCAUUUUCAAGCCAUAAGUAACACAGAAGGAAGUGGACCUGGCCUCAUCCACAGGCAAGAUCUCUCUGAUUCUCUUUGUUUUCUGUGGAUGUUGAAAUAUGAUAUUGCCUUUUCAAUUUCUCGGGCCCAAUCCAGCUCUCUAUGAAAAAAUUUUCCAUCCAAUAUAAUUUUUGAGGUUUCUCUCUCCCCUUUUCACAUUGUGCAAUUCCAAGGUUUUUAAAAAGGAAUAUUAUUAUUUUCUUAUUAAAGGUAUUCUGACACAUCAUGUCAGUACCACGGUUUGGUAAAACUAUCAAUUUAUCACCAAACAUUUAAACUGUUAUCAUUUUCCCAUCAUUCCAUUAAAACUCAGUUAAUAUGUAAUGAAAAAUUCAUAAAAGGUCAAUUUUACCCCUGGAGCAUAAAAGACCAUGUAAUUAACCUUUUAUGAAUUUUGUAAUUAAAUCAUCAUUUGCUGUUCUUCCUUCUUAAAGGACAAAAAUUACCCUUUAUGAAUUUUGUAAAAUUGACCGUGUGAUGCUAGGUACUUCAUAAAUUGAUUUAAUUUAUUAAAAUUUUAAAGGACAAAUUUAUUUAUUUAAUUUUUUGUGUAAAAUUAUUAUCAUCAUAUCAAAAAUUAAUAUUUUAAUCUUAAAUCACAUAAAACUCAACUUGUUACUGAGAUAAAGCAAAAGCUCAAUUUUAUAAGCUCAAGGUUAAUUACAUGGUCUUUUACGCUCCAGGGGUAAAAUUGACCUUUUAUGAAUUUUCCGUUAUAUAUUAACUGAGUUUUAACGGAAUGAUGGAAAAAUGCUAACAGUUUAAAUGUUUGGUGGUAAAUUGAUGGUUUUACCAAACCGUGACCAUGAUGUGUCAGAAUACCUUUAGUGGGAAAAUAAUAAUAUCCCUUAUAAAAAUUCAAAAAGAAAAAUACUUCAAAGAUUCUCUUGGCUAUGUGUGUACUUUUGUGCAAGUGUGCUACGACAAAAAAUUGUUUGAAGCAAGUAGCAAUGAGCUUAGCCUUAGCCCCCCAAGUUUGUCUUUACCUUGACACAAACUCAAUUUCUGCAAAGUUUUCAUAGACAGAAAAAGCAUAACUUUUGAUUUAUAUAACCCAACAAGAAAAGGGUAAUAAGGGUGUGCAAAUAAUGCUUUUUCUUUCUUACUUUUUGGGCAGCUGGAGGCAACUGAAAAACAACGGGCAAUCCAAAAGCAAUUAUCUCUGCUUGGAUUAACAGAAUUGAGAGAAAAUAUUGAAGAUAAAUGUAUGCCCUCUAAAGGCACUAACGUACAACAAUAUAAUAUCAUUUUGCUUGCAGGUAGGAUGAUAUAGGCACUAGAGCAGCAUCUGUUGACAAGAACUCCAAUGGUGCUCUCCAAACGAGACAGACACAGAAUGCUUAUGAGCAUCAAAAGCAAGUGAUAUUGAACGAUCGUCUGUGUAGAAAAUACAAACUCUCAACUAAAUCCUAGACUAAACAAGUGAUUCGAUAAUGGCUUCUGAAGAAGGUAGAACAAGAAACGAAGAAGAUCUAUUUAUUCAAGUUCAAAAUGAUACUCUGCUAAAACUAGACAGCUACAGUUCUGCCGUUUGUUCAUAGAAGCUUAGCUGAUCUAGAAAUUAUCAGAAUGCAACUGAGUUUAGCAUCAGAUAAUGAGAAAAUGACAAAACACAUGAGCCAUUUAUUAAAAAGAGUCAUAACAGCAAAUAUAUUACAAAGUUUUGAACUAAAUUGGUGCCAUCAGAUACUUAAAUUACAAAUAAUCAAAAGUAAAGUAUCAACAACGAAAAAAAAGGACAAUGAAGUCUUCUUUAGAUAUUACAGACAUUCUUCCAUGCAGCUUUCUUCCUAACACUAGCUAAUAAAAACAAUCAAUUGAACGAUCACACAAUGCACACAAAGUUCAUGACCUACAGAUCCCCAAAAGUGUAUCUGGUUCCAUCAUAUCAAUGAUGCAUCUCCAGCUUCUGCCAAUCCACAAAAUACAAUUCUACUUAAGUUACUCCUACGCUACAAAGCCAUCUUAUUAAAAGCAGGGAAUGCAACUGGGACUAGUACCUUUUCCAGGAACAACUAUAAUAGGAGCAGUUUUACAAUGGUGUAAACAAUAUUCACCCACACUUCCCUGCAGUACACUGUAGAGCAAUCCAGCAAUGUUAGAGAGGGGCAUUAACACAAUAUGAAAAAUAAAUAAAUAAUUAGAAAAGAGGGAUGUUCCAAUAAAGGUUCUCCUAGUUUAUUAAAGUAAGGGAUCCCCUAAAACACACGAAAAACAUACACUCUAAUGCAGUAUAUUUUGUCCUAUAAUAUAUUGGAAUAUGUGUUCUUCUGUUUUUAACUUGUCCCUUAAUUUAAUAAAGUAAGGUAGCCGUUACUUGAUAAUGACUCAUUAGAAAAAAACAUGCACAUACAGAAGAAGAGAUAGAGAGAGAAAAUAGAUGGUAGGGAGAGAACCUACCUCUGUAUUAGGCCUCUGCCUCGGCUACCAAUCACCACAGCUGCUGGUUUUAACCUUUCAGCUUCCUUGCAAAUUACCUUAGCUGCAUCCCCUUCCACAAUCCGAGCCUUAGUCCUCACCUGCUCCAUAUAAAUUAUUUGAGAUUGAUGCUAAUGCUUCUCAAGACACCAACCUUGAACAAUUAUUGAUUUGUCAAAAGUCAUAAUCAGUGUGCUAUGCCUAUUUGGCUAUGACGACUUGUAUUCCAAAUUCAAAAAACUAGCUCUAUUAUAUUUGUUACCAAAACAUAGGAGGAAAAAGAAAAAAAGGUAAUGCUGGGGAUGCAAACCAUUGUGUACAAAAUAAUUUGUACCCUUAGUAUCAUCCAAGGGAAAAUCUUAUAUUUAGGUACAUGCAAGAUGCGACAAAACAGCAUGGGAAACAAAUUCUGGUGUUGCAUGCAAAGGAUGCUUUUAGGAGCUCAAUUACGAUGGUAAUAUCAUAAUCAAUCAUCUUAAACUAUUGCAAUCAAUGGUGUUUCAGAGAAACAUCAAGUUCACUGAAGUUGAAAAAGACAGGUACUGAGUUGAUUAAUAAAUUCAGCGCCUCUCCUAAUUCAAGAUUUACAUUUCUAACAUCUUUGAAGCAACAAUAAAACAAAAUUUCACGAGAUGGUAUUGAGAAAUACUCAAAAGGACUGACCAUAGCAACAUCCAUAGCCUCUAUAGCAAGCUUCUCCAUCAGCCCCUGGCUCAUAUCAUAAACAAUUUGAUUCUGCACACCUGAAAGGAUAAAAGCCAUAUGCCCCCAUUUUUCAUUAAAACUAGUAGAACGUACAAUUAUAAAUUCAAUGCACACACGUCAAGAUUUUAGUAGCAAAUUCGCCCAUACAUCCCCCCCCCCCCCCCCCCCCCCCCCCCCCCCGGGGGGCCGGGGCGCCUCUCUCUGUCUAUUCUUAAGUAUUAAAUGACACGCAACAUUUACAAAUGGGGAUGAUUAAUGACCAUUAGAGGCAUUGUUAUAACAAUUCAUUUGUAACAAGAAGAUAAUCAAAUUCAGAACAAAGAACACAAAAUAAUCAAGUUUAGUGCACACAUCUCAAGAUUUUAGUGAUGAAUAAGAGCCUACACAAAACAAGAUUUCGGAUCUCUCAGUUGUUUUCCUCUGUCUAUUCUUGACUUUUAAAGAUGAAAUUAAUGGUAUGUUAAACUACUUAACUUUCCAUUUGUAACCCUCAAAUUUCUCAAAAUUAUUUUUUAUGCGUCUCCUUCAUCAUUGCUCUCGCGUACACAUCUCGUUCAAGAAUAGACAAGAAAGAAGAAACAAAGCAUUGGUAUGAAUCCUUUUGCAACAAGAUUGUAUGUAUGAUAAUAAAAAAGGGGGGGGGGGGGGGGUAAAAUUUAAACAUACUGGAAACAGCAUGGACAAGAUGGAUGGUGUCAGCGAGUCUGCAGAGAUGGAUGAGGGCCCAAUCGAAGGCGUGCUUGCUGUUGGGACCAUGAUCGACGGCUAUCAAUAUGUCUCUGCCUCUCCUUCUCUCCCCUGUCUCUCUCUCAAGCUCUGGUUCUGCUGCCGCCGUGGGCGACAGAGUCGGCAGAUCCACCUCUCUCCAGCUGUAAACUUCUUCCUCUUCCUUCACCGGUUCCAUUGUCCCUGUUUCUCUGUUUCUUCUCUCUGUGUCAAAUGGAAAGAAAAGUAAUAAAAAGAAACAAACCCCUUUCCGUGAUUUCGGUAAAAGACACAUUCGUAAUCUCUUUAUCGAUAUUAUUAAUAUAAUAAUAAUUUCAAUACAUUAAUGGAAGAGUCGUGUCGAGCUGACCAUCUUUGAAUGGUCUUCUCCAAAUGUGUAAAAUAAGUGUUGGAUUUGGUUACGACAAGACAAAGUCUGUGAGAGCGCGGGAAUCUAGAAAUUUAUUGGCAUCUAAAACGGUAAAAUUCCUUGUGAUUUUGGUAAUUUUAUUAAUUUAUCCUUAUCUUUGGUUAGAACUUAGAAGAAAUGAUUAAAAAAAGAAAGAGGAAUUUAAAAAAAAAAAAAAGAGAGAAAGGAAAACGAAUAAAAAAAAUCAAUCUUACUUUCGUUAUUUAGUUGGAUAAAGGAUUUAUAUUUCUCUCCUCUUUUUCUUUCUUCUCCUUAUAUUUCUUUAAAAUAACUCAUGCCGUCCACAUAUUUCUCAAUUCUAACAUUAAACAUAUUUUAACAAAUUAAUCAAUAAUUACUUUUGUUUGCCACAUCGUAAAUGUUGAUUGGUGUUAGUUGACUUAAUUUUUUAUUGUUAAUGUAAUUAUCUUAUUAUACCUAUCCUCGCGACAUGUUAAAUGUUACAUCACUCGGUAUCUUAUUUUUAAUUAUUGAUGUAACUACUUUUGAGGAUUACGCAAUUGUCCUCACUCCCCGACCCAAAUUCAAAUUGCUUAUUUUAUUGACUUCACCUUUGCUAACAGCGUAAAACGUGACAAUAGCCCACUUAAUUUGACAACUUAGGCUCGGGUAAGCUAAAUUCACGCUUAAGAUUUUGGUAGAUGAUCAAACAAUCAUUUAUUUAAGAAUUUAUGAGAUUCUCGUAAGUACAUAUGAGUUGUCAACUUAUUUUAAUCAAAUAAAGACGAUUUAAAUCGUUACUUUGUACCCAAUACAUUAACAAAUCCUCAUAAGACUAAUUAAUAAAUAAUAUCAUAUCCAACUUAGUCCAAUCUGACAUACCAAAAAGUGUAAAGGUCUUGAUUACAUUAAAGAGACAUGUUAAUGUAGAUUUAUUCAAAUUUCGUAUGAAAACAUAAAUAUAUUAAUGUCAUUAAUGGGCUUAUUUUAUAAGACUAAAUAUAUUAAUAAAUCUAUCCAAUUUUUUUUUUUUUUUUUGAAUUCAGGAUAUCCACUUCAGCUCUACCAUGUGAUAUGCACUUUUUGCCAGUCCAAAUCCUUUUCCUCAAACAAAAUUCUAUCCUCAGCCUGCUCUCCAGCUAAAGAUUUAAACUUGAAAUAUUGCAGUCCAGCAAAUGCAAAACAUAGUACUUGUAGUUGUCCAUGUACUACAUUUUUCAAAUGCCUAAACCGACUCCAUGUUCGAAACUAUUCAAGUCAUGGCCGUAGCCGGAGAGUGAACUUGCCAAACCAAUCACAACAUGAUAAUUACUCAGCUUACCCUCCGAGGAAGAGCUACAAAGAUGCUAAACCACUGAUGUAAUCAUCACACAUUUCAGUGCAGGCGAGUUCUAGUUGUUCUGUUUGAAAACAGAACUGCAAAGCCCGGGUGUUAGCUUGCAACAUUGGUUGUUCUGCCUGCAAUGGGUGCAAGGAUUCUGCCAUUGGCAAUAACGUGUCCUGUUCAUACAUUCUGAAAAGCCAAUCAUCUGGCUUCUCCCUUCGUGUGUAAUUAUGCAAUGCACAGGCAACCACUACCAACUUCACCUGUGUUUGUAAUGGGCAUGGAGGAGCAGAUAACAAAAUGGUGAACUGCCCCUUUAGGGCCCCAAAAAAUACGAUCAGUGGCAUUCCGUAAUGAUGAAUGCCGUUGAUUAAAUAGCUUUUGGCAUCUUGUCGAUGAUAACCGCUGGGAAUUUGGUUUGUGCGGUAGGGAACACCUUGAUAUGGGGCAAUGAAGCCUGGCAUAUUUGCGUACUUGUUAUCCACAAGGUAGUACUUUCCUGGAUUAUUAAAGGUUUUAUUCAAUAAGAACUCAAGAGAAGGGACUUAAAAGGCAAACCCAUAAACACGUCACUCUCUCCGCUAUCGUAUACGGGAUCCCAGGGCCUAUAGAAUUGUCCCAAAAACCUUACAUAUUUAAGACACCCUAGACCUCAUCACGUUCUGUGUUUGUAUGCAAUUAAUUCGGAUCUGCAAACAACAUUCUAGUGAGUCCCACGUAACCAUAAACAACACCCUGGGGGACCUUACUGUAUAUUGCGUCUCGUGAGCGCUGAAUUUAGAACUCGCAAAUCUGACGCUGAGCCUUCCCAACCAGCCAGGGACAUAAUGAAACUUCAAAUCAAAUGAGCAAGCCGCCGGCACGUUUUGCAGAAAGUAAUCCACUCUGGUUACGGAAAGGUCCCCGCUCGUCUACACCUACCAUAACUGGAAUGUGCAUACCCAUCAACGGCUCCAACACAAUCCUGGCAUAAGAUCGUUAUUAAUUAAAAAAAAAAAGAAAAGAAACGGAAAGACUAAAGAGGAAGAGAAGGUGCUCAGGAUAAUUAAGAAUGGAUUGGAGAAUUUUUCCUCAUGUUAAUCUCAGAUUAACGAGAUUAACUUCACUCAUCAUCAUCGCACUUUCUCUUCCGAAGAAGUAUAAAAUUAAAAAAAAAAUCAUAUUAAGAAAAAAAAAGAAAGAAAUUUUGAGAAAAAGUAUAUACGCAGACGGCUGAAUUGGGGUUUAGGGUUUCGCUUUUCCCAUUACUACUAUUUAUAGGCAGAGAGAGGAGGAGGCGUGCUCGUAAAUUUCAUUGAUACCCUUUUGUUUUUAUAAUUCGUCAGAUAAUUAUAGAGUUUUUAUAUUACUUCUUAGUAUGUCCAAAAUUCAACUCUAUUUUUUAAUUAGAAUUAUAGAUUUUUUAAUAAAAUGAUUAAAUUAUAUAUUUAUUAAAUAAACUGAAAUCAUUAACAGGAUAAAAUAUUAUUAUUUCUUUAACUUAUUAUAAAAAAGUAUUAUGAAAAAAAGUAUGUCAAUAUAUUAUAAUAUCGUUACUAAUAUUUGAAAGUUACAGAAUAAUGCAGUAACAAUUAACAACAUUUUUAUAAUUUCAUGACUUAUUUCAUUCACAAUCAUAUAUGCUUAUUCUUUUUCUUCUUAUUAAAUAAAAUUAUUCAAGAAUUAUUGCAUUGUUGUUACUCUUUUAUUAAAUAUACAUUUCGAGUGCUUUGAUGGUAUAUAUAUUGUAUUUACUCUUUUAUAUGGAUCAACAUUCACACAAAUAUUUAUUUAUAAAUCAGCCUAGGUAAUAAAAAGUCCUGGAUUUUCUUUUAUUUAAAACAAAGUAAAAAUAGAAAUUCAAAUUUAUGAAAAAAUGGGGUCUUUUCUAAUAGAAAAUUCAACAUUCAUUAACUCAAAGAAGACAAUAAUAUAUAAUUUCUGUUGCGAAUGAACAUUAUCACUCUUUUUUAUUGUACUUAGAGAAUGCCUUUUAAGGAAUGUAAAUGGUUAUCUAUAUAGCAUCAUUCUCACUCUUUUUGUGAGACGCUCUAAAGUUAAAAGUAGCGCCAUAUUUAACCCCCUCACUAUAUCUCAUUAAUCCCUACUAUACAAUUAGUUAUAUUUAUUUUCAAAUUAUUUCAAAUUAUCUUUACUUAUCAAUAACGACAUUCAUUUUUAGCAUAGCAUCGAAGAAACAAAACAUAGAUCAAUAACAAAUUUGACACAAGUAAUACAAUUAUUUAAUUUACAUUACAAUAGAACAAUUUGCAAUCACAUAUCAGACCCAUCAGUAGGUGUGCGUUAGGAAAGAAAUCUUUGCAGCAACAAGAUAAUGGAAAUUGGUUGAGAAAUUACUUAGCACAAGCUUAUUUUAGGGCGAUGUUGAGUCAAACGCCAGUGAUGAAAAACUUAUUGAUGAAAUCUUACGUUUUGAUGGCUAUGACCAUAAUAUCAUUUUUGUGUCAACUGAUAAAUUACUAAAAUCAAUUUUCGCUUGAGUAUUACUUCUUAAAGUCAUGAUGCUAAUAUUGCAAUUGAAGAAUUAGUAUAGUUUUUUACGCACAAAAGCACAAAGGAGGGACGAGGUGUUGCAGCAGCAAUAUUUCGGCUUCCCAUGGCUGAUUUUAUUUCUUUUGUUGCUCCCAAUUCAAGUAUGUCCAGCUAAUUUUCUUAUACUAAGGUUAAAGAUGAAACCCUAUUCAAUGAAAUAAUUAUUAUUUUUUAUUUAUUUAAUUCCCAUAUAUGUUCUUUAAUGAUUAUGGUUUUUAUUUCACAUGAUUAAUUGGAUGUUAAUAAAAUCUUUUCAUCAAUUUUGUCAUGCAUUAUUGAUUGUUAAGAUUAAAAUUCGAUUAAUUCUAUACUUGGAUCUAUAAAGUUUAUACAUGAUUAUCUUUGAUUUUAUGUCUUUCAUUAAAUUGUUUACAUGGAGUGCUUAGGAAACUUUGACUCUUUGUUAUUCAAUAUGUUUACAUGAGAUUCUUAGAUGUCAUAUUAUUAAGCAGAAAAAGAACCUACAUUAGAUUUAAUUACUUGGGCUUAAUUGUUAUAUCCAUGAGAUGACAUAGAUUGAUUUCGAGUUGUCACUCUAAAAUUGGGGAUUAAUUAAUAAUUAGAUAAUUACUAGUUGAAUAGUGGUGGAUUCUGAAACCUUGGUAAUUCUUAUCUUAUUGAAUUCUCCUUUAUUUUAAUUGCUUCCUUAGUUUAAUUGGUUUAAUUUUCUUAAAAACUCAAUUUGCUCAACUAGGUUAGAAUUAAUAUUAAUUUUAGAUUUAAAUUAGACUUUUUAAUUUAUAACAAUCCCUGUGGGAUCGACCUCGUUACCACUAUUCUAUUUCUAGAUUCGUACGCUUGCGAGUAUAUUAAAAUUUUCACAACAAGUUUUUGGCGCCGUUGCCGGAGAUUGUGCUAGAAAGUCAAGUUUAAUCUAGGUUAAUUUGAUUUUUCCACUAGUUAUAAUUUAGGUUGUCUUUUAUUUUAUUUAUUCAAUUUUUAUUUUUAUUUUAUUUUAUUUUGAAUUCAUUCUUUAGUUGUUUAAUUUCGUUUAUUCUCAUUAUUGUUGGUUUAUUUUAUUUAUUUUAUUUUAUUUUCUUUCCUUGUCUGGUUAGUUUAUGAGUGUUUGGGAACGUGAUUCAACAAAUCGUUUGGUUAAAAGAGAAUAAAAAAUUGAUAGUAGUCAAGCUAGUUCUUUAGAAGUGAUGGAUGACCCAAAUAGAUUAUUGCCAAUACUUCCACCAGUGCAAGCAGAGAAAACCCUUAGAGAAUACUUUUCACCACUUGCAGCCAACCAACCAUCUUGUAUUGUGUUGCCACAAACUACAGCAACACACUUUGAACUUAAGCCCUCUGUCAUUCAACUUUUGCCAUCUUUCCAUGGGUUAGAGAGAGAGGAUCCAUAUUUGCACAUUAAGGAAUUUCUUGACAUAUGCUCUACAUUCCGUUUUCAAAAUUUUAAUGAUGAGUCAAUUAAGCUUCGUAUGUUCCCUUUCUCAUUAAAAGACAAAGCAAAAGCUUGGUUGAAUUCACUUCCUGCUGGAUCUAUUAGUACAUGGGAUGAAUUGAGUAAUAAGUUUCUCACCAAGUUUUUUCCUAUGUCUAAAACAAAUGCCCUUAGGAGAGAGAUAAGUGAUUUUUAUCAAAGAGAGGGUGAGCAAUUUUACGAGUGUUGGGAAAGAUUCAAUGAUUUACUCCUUAAGUGUCCCCACCAUGGUUUUGAAAAAUGGAGACUUAUACAAUGCUUUUAUAACGGUUUAACCAUGUCAAAUCGUCAUAUGGUAGAGUCUAUGAAUGGUGGGAGAUUUUUGAACUUACAUGAAGGGGCUGCAUGGGAUUUCUUUAAUUCACUUUAUGAGAAUUCUCAACAGUGGGAUUUUUCAAAUCAAAGAGAAAAAUCAUCUCAAGUUUCUAGAAAGGGGUUAUAUGAAGUUAAGGAUGAUUUUGAUGUGAAAUCCAUUCUAGCUACACUUUCUAGGAAAGUAGAUGCCUUAGCGCUGAACCAAUCAAUGAAUCAUCAUCCUAGUGUAGCUAAUGAGGUUUGUGCUCUUUGUUCUAACUUGUCUCAUACAGCACAGAAUUGUCCAUCAUUACCAGCCUAUCAAGAGGCUUAUUCUGAGCAGGUACAUGCCUUACAAGCAUAUGAGAAAACCCCCAAUAAUCCAUAUUCAUCCACAUAUAAUCCUAAUUGGAGGAAUCACCCGAAUGUUUCUUGGAAACAAAAUCAACCUUUGUCAAACCAAGGAGGACAACAGUUUAACAUGCCCAAUCAACAAUUUGUCCCUUCUAACCAAGUAUAUCCUCCUGCCCAACAACCUAUGUCUCAAUUUGUUGCACCCCAACAAAGAAAGCCUUCUUUAGAGGAUACACUUCAAAGUUUCAUUCAGUCAACCCAACAAGCUUUUCAGUCAAACACUCAAGCUAUUCUAAAGCUUGAACAUCAAUUGGGUCAAUUAGCAACUACUGUAGCGGAGAGAGAAAAAGAAAAAUUCCCAAGUCAACCAAUUCCUAAUCCCAAAGGAGUGCAUGAAGUUGGAUCGAGUUCAAGUCAUCAGCAUGAAGAAGCAAAAUCUGUUAUGACCUUGAGAAGAGGAAAAUUAUUUGACAACAAGGUGGAGGCUCAAACAAGAAAGACAUCUGUGCCUACUUCUUCAGAUCCAGUUCCAUCACAAGACUCAUCACCAAAUGAUCCAGAAGAGAGUGGCCCGCCAGCUUACAUUCCCAAGGCUCCUUUUCCUCAAAGGUUAACAAAGGUAAAGAAAGGGACUUCAACAGGUGAGAUUAUGGAAAUCUUCAAGCAGGUAAGUAUAAACAUCCCUUUACUUGAUGCUAUUAAGCAAGUUCCUUCUUAUGCCAAGUUUUUGAAAGAUUUAUGCACUAAAAAGAGAAAUUUGCAUGUCACUAAAAAGGCGUUUUUAACUGAACAAACUAGCAAUUUACUCCAAUGUAAAAUGCCACCAAAAUUUAAGGAUCCUGGUUCUCCUACUAUCUCAUGUGUUAUAGGGAACCAAUGUUUUGAUAAAGCAUUAUUGGAUUUGGGUGCUAGUGUUAAUCUCUUGCCUUAUUCUGUUUACAUGCAGCUUGGACUAGGUGAGUUAAAAUCAACUCCUAUUAUUUUGUAACUUGCUGAUAGGUCAAUGAAAAUACCUCGUGGUAUUAUAGAGGAUGUGUUAAUACAGAUUGACAAAUUUUAUUAUCCUGUUGAUUUUAUUAUUAUUGAUACUCAGCAUGUACAGGAUCCUAAGAAACACACCCCAGUUAUUUUAGGUCGUCCUUUCUUAGCUACAGCUGAUGCUCAUAUUAGUUGCAGGACUGGAAACAUGCAAUUGUCUUUUGGUAACAUGACCAUGGAAUUAAACAUUUUUAAUGUUCCUAAGCAGGCACAAGAAGAUGAUGAAGUUGUUGAAGUAGAUAUAAUAGAAGCAUCAAUUGAUGACUCACUUAUUUCUAACCACUGUGACAAUCCAUUAAUACCAUGCACAACUGACUCUGAUUUCUCUGUUGAUGUUGAUAGUGGUAUCGAAGAAGUUAAUGUUUUACUUGAUUCGACUCUUAUCAUAGAUAUAAUUAAGUGGAAAGAAAAGAUUGAGCCACUUCCUCCUGAAGAGAAAAUUGAACCAUUCAAGUUAGAGCUACUUCCUAAAAAAAUGCAACAUAGGUCACAUUCUGACAUGAAAAAUGUGGUAAGAUCUAAAGUACUUAAAUUAUUAGAUUUUUAUACUACUUCAGAUAACUCUCAGGAAAGUAUGGAACAGAAGAGAUCAAGGCCGUGCGAUAUUGAGAAGUUUCAUUACCAUCAUCCUUUUAUAGAUAAAAUGCUCCAGUGCUUAGUCAAUUAUGUUUUCUGGCAUUUUCUAUAUAAUUGCUUUGCUUUUCACCAAAUUCUUAUUGAUCCCGGUUGAUUUGUUGUUUACAUUAAUUAGUUAGUUAGUAGGAUUUUUUUUAUUUAUAUUUCUUCUAACGUUUUCUUUUAGUUGUCAUUUUGUUUUAAGCUUUCCCAACCCAUCCAGGUGUGUUCUCUCCAACUUUCUUUUUAUUAUUUAAGUUAUUAUUAUUAUUUUUUCUUUCUUUCAUUUGUUUGCAUGCAUAUCUUUUGUUUGUGAAACAUUGAGGACAAUGUUCCGAAUAAGUUUGGGGGUGGGAAUAGUGUGUGCUUUGUUUGUUAAAAAAAAAAAAAUCAAAAAUUCAAAAAAAAAUUGUGUUUUUUUGUUUUUACGUGAAAAGCCAAUGAUAAGAACUUGAUUGACAAUGAAUAUGGUUUUUAGAAAGGGUUGAAUAUUGUCUUAGUUUAUACUUGAUUCUUGCGUUAGUUCCUCUUGAUUGAGAUUCUUUAAACCAUGAGCACUAAUAUCAAUUCUUUCAUAAUUUUGACUUGAAAUUUGAGAUUAACGCAGCCUGAGUUGAGAAUUUUAGAUAGAGUAAAUGACUGUUUGUCUUUAUUCUUAUCUCCACAAUACAAAAUAGUAUGCACGGGCGCCAAAGUCAAAAAUAGCUACCUAUAACCCUUAAGAGUGAAGCUAUCCUUGAGUAAUUUGGGCCUAUGUACCACAAGUAUGUAGAGGAUAAUCUACCAUGAGAAGAAGGCUACUUUAAGGGGUAGAGUGAAAGCUCCUGACUAUGGUUAAAAAAAAAAAAAAGCAAAAAAAAAAAAAUCAAAAGAAGAUGCACAUAAAAGCCUGUGAAAAAAAAUAAAAAAUUGGAGAUCAAGAUGAUAAGAUUAGUUUGACCUACUCUGUUCUUUGUUUGAGGCGAAAACUGUUGAUGUUGAGGAUUUUGGGAAUGGAUUUGAUUGAAUUGGUUUCACACACACACUACAAGAAUCGAAAGAGAGAUGUGAUUGAUUAUUGAAUUAAAGUUAGAACUUUGCCAAUAUUUGAAAUUUUCUUUAAGCUAUAUAAUUUUUGCAAUCUUUGAGGCUAUUUUUCAUGUUUUAUUUAAUUUUUUAUUUAAUUUUUUAUUUUUUUAAUGAUGUUUGUGGGUAUCAUCACUGAAGCCCUCACGAGACUACAACUCGUCCACUAGGGCCGCAUAGGGGUUUAAAGGCUUGUUGCAUACGCUAAAUGCAAUCGCGAUUACCUGCGAAAGUGGUUUAGUUAGGAUUUACUUUUUGUUUCAUUGUUUUUAUUUUUUAUUUUUAGUUUUAGUUUUGCUCGAGGACUAGCAAAAUCUCAGUUUGGGGGUAUUUGAUGAGCAUAAUUUAUAUACAUAUUUUAAUAUACUUGUUGUGAAAAUUUUAAUAUACUCGCAAGCGUACGAAUCUAGAAAUAGAAUAGUGGUAACGAGGUCGAUCCCACAGGGAUUGUUAUAAAUUAAAAAGUCUAAUUUAAAUCUAAAAUUAAUAUUAAUUCUAACCUAGUUGAGCAAAUUGAGUUUUUAAGAAAAUUAAACCAAUUAAACUAAGGAAGCAAUUAAAAUAAAGGAGAAUUCAAUAAGAUAAGAAUUACCAAGGUUUCAGAAUCCACCACUAUUCAACUAGUAAUUAUUUAAUUAUUAAUUAAUCCCCAAUUUUAGAGUGACAACUCGAAAUCAAUCUAUGUCAUCUCAUGGAUAUAACAAUUAAGCCCAAGUAAUUAAAUCUAAUGUAGGUUCUUUUUCUGCUUAAUAAUAUGGCAUCUAAGAAUCUCAUGUAAACAUAUUGAAUAACAAAGAGUCAAAGUUUCCUAAGCACUCCAUGUAAACAAUUUAAUGAAAGACAUAAAAUCAAAGAUAAUCAUGUAUAAACUUUAUAGAUCCAAGCAUAGAAUUAAUCGAAUAUUAAUCUUAACAAUCAAUAAUGCAUGACAGAAUUGAUGAAAAGAUUUUAUUAACAUCCAAUUAAUCAUGUGAAAUAAAAACCAUAAUCAUUAAAGAACAUAUAUGGGAAUUAAAUAAAUAAAAAAUAAUAAUUAUUUCAUUGAAUAGGGUUUCAUCUUUAACCUUAGUAUAAGAAAAUUAGCUGGACAUACUUGAAUUGGGAGCAACAAAAGAAAUAAAAUCAGCCAUGGGAAGCCGAAAUAUUGCUGUUGCAACUGCUCUCUUCCAGCCUUUUUCUCCUCCUCUGGCGGCCCUUUCAUUCAAAAGCCAAAACUCUAUUUUAUAAUGCUUAGCCACCGAAUCCUCUUUGUCUACUAAUUAAAAUCCUUUUCCAAUUAUGAAACAAAGCUUCCAUAAUAACGCCAGCCAUUAAUUCCACUUUUGAAAGUCAAGUGUGGGCCCCAUUUAAAUUGCUUUCCCCUUUUGCAAUGCUAUGGACGUGCAACUCAAUUGGAGAAUUGAAAUUCUUUUUCAAUACAAAUUGCUCUUGGCUCUUAACUCUAUCACAACUUCAACUAAUAUUUCCCCAAAUUAUUAUUCUUUUUGCACUUUUUAUUUCCAAUCUCCAAUUAAUUCCCUAUUCAAUAAAACAAUUCAAUUAAUUAAAAAUAACAAAUAAAAUUAACUAGCAAAUAUACAAUAAAGGGUAAAAUAUGUAUAUAAAUUAUGCUCAUCAGGUGUCAUGAUAGCCUCACUCCAUUCUAUUCAUCCAAAAGGGUAAUUUUCAAUUUUAUCCCCUGAGGUUUAGGGUCCCUUCACUUAGAUAGAAUGUAUAAGGUACCUUCAUUUUACACCCCUACCCUUAGUAUAAAGUUGAUUAUAUAUUUAGUAUGUGAGGGCAUAUAAAUAAUUGCAUGCUAAAUUGCUUAAAUACUAAAACCAUUUUGAAUUUUUGCAUUUUGGAAACUGUCUAAAGCAUCAUAAUGCCCGCUGGGUAACAACCGAAGCAUGAUGAUGUCCAACAGUCUUUACACCAAAAUAAAAACAAUGAUAUGGGUAACUUUCAUCUUCACAAAUCAAAAACACAUAUUCAAAUCACCAUUACAAUUCUUAAGAAAUGCAUUGAGGAAAUUCGUUGUAGGAAUUAAAUAUACCUAAAAAAUAGGAUAUUUAAUCAAAUAUACCACAUGCUUGAUAAUUAUGUGGAUAUGUUAUUUUGUGUGAUGUAUUGUCUAAAAUGUCUUUAAAGAAAAAUAUAAAGUACACACACAAAUCACCUCCAACACACACCCUUUUACUUCCACACUAUUUCACUCUUCAUUCAAUUUUACUCUGGUAGUGUCGUUAAGGUGCACCAAAUUUAAAACCUUACCACUAAUAUAAAUAAUUAGUACAAAGCGAGUAAGGAUCGAUCCCACAGAGACUAUGCUAGUUAUAUUUAUUUAUCAACUCUAAAGCAAGAUUUAAAAUAAAAUAAUAGUAGUAAUAAUAGAAAUUAAUCUAACUAAAGAAAAUGCCAAUUAUAAAUAAAAAGGGGGUUUAUGAAUUUUUAACUAAAUAGUAAGAAAUAAAGAAAUUAAAACUACGAACAAGAAUUUAAUAAAAACUCUAGUUAAAGGAAAAAGAAAUAAUGAUGAUGAAAACUUUGGUUAAAGGAUCAUUCGCCACCACCAAACAUGCACAUAAUAUAUUAAUUUUAUCAUCAAUUUAUAUUGAAACUAUCAACCGUAGACAACAAUAAGCUCUGUUAGUCUCAAUCUUUCCUUAGUGUGUCGUUAGGCAAAACAAGCUCUUCACCUAAUCUCUAACCAUUAAAUAAUUUAAAACAAGCUCUUUAAAUUUAAGAUAAUGGAAGCAUUAAACAAAGAAAUAUAUUAGGUUGAUCUAGGCAAUAAACACACAAGCUCGGAUUAUUUAACCUAGAUUAUGUUCUCCAAUUGAAAUCACUAAUUCCAACCUGCUACCAAUGAUUAAAAUAUCAAGACAAUUACGGAUCAAGAAUUUUAAUCUAGCAAUAGAAUUUAUUUAAGUCCUAUCUAAUUGGCCACUCAAAUAAAACAAUAAUAAACCAUGAACAUUAAUUAUAGAAGAACAUAAACAAUCUCAAUUAAAUAAAUUGAAUGAUAGAAUUUAAAUUUAAUUGCAUAGCAUGUUUAGGGUUUUGAUUUCACCCUCAACCAAAUAAAAAUUUAGCCUAACAUAAUUGAAUUGGGAAGAAGAGAAUUGACAAAACCAAUCAUGGAGAUUAAUUCAAGCGGCUGCUGAUUUUUCUCUUCUCCUUGCGCCUGUUGAAUUUUUUUCUCUGCCCGAAUUGCGUCUGCACCCCCCUCUCGCUCUCUGGCAGCUCUCCUUUUAUAAUGCUAGUUGACCGAAUUCUUCUCCAACAAGUCUAAAGAAAUCCUUUUUCAAUUCUAAUUGAAAUCAUUUUUCAAUUCUAAUUGAAAUCCUUUUCCAAUUUGAACUUUUAUUCCUUUUCAAUUUGAACUUCUUCAUGUCCUUUUUAUCCACAAUCUCCAAUUAAUUCCCUAUUCAAUAAAAUAAUACAAUUAAUUAAAAAUAAUAAAUAAAAAUAACUAGCAAAUAUAUAAUAAAGGGUAAAAUAUGUAUAUUAAUUAAUUUCCUAUUCAAUUAAAAAUUAACUAAAAUAACUAGAAUGUUUCAGAUCAAAACAAGAAAAAGAUGAAGAAAUUAAUAACAAAAUAUAUGAAAAAUAUGCACUUAUCAUACUCCACACAAGAAAAAGUCACUCCACACUCUCAAAAUCACUUCUGAAUAACCAAUGUAUUGAGAUUUUGGUUUGUAAUUAGGUGCAUUAUUCAUUCAAUGAAUAAGGUAAUUAAACUUUAUAUUAAUUUUGUGUUAUUUAUUCAUUUUCUUAACAUUAUAUUAUUUUUAGGUUUUGUUUGAUUUGUGAUCAACAAUAAAACAACUCACAUUUUCAUUACAUUUGCAUCAUAUCGAUGUCUUGUAAUGGAUUUUCUAACUAUAUUUGUUGAAAUCUCAUUUUGUUCUCAAAAUUUUGUUUUGCACAUGAUUUACACAACAACAAUCGUGUAUGUAUGAAUUUACAUGAUUACGGCCGUACAAGUGUGCAAAAUGUUCCAACUGUUAUGACAAUUUGCUUACCUUUUAUAAUGAGUGUAUUCAAUGUGGUCUUGUGCUUGGUGAUGAAAGAAUGCAAAUCAAGGUUUAGGUAUUCAAAGACAAGAAACACAUCUGUCCCACUCCUCUAUCUAGUAACCUACAUCCAAAUUGUACAAAAAUUCAGGCAAAAAGGUUGCUAGAAUCUUAGUAAGAUCUAUUCAGGCAGUCUUCCAAUUAUUAAGCAUAUAUUUUAGAAUAAAAUCAAACUUAACAAGGUAUAACUGUUAAGUUUAGAUGUGGUAAAUGACCUUUAAUUUGGCCAAUUUCCAUUCAAGACAGUAGAUUUGUGGUGCUAGAACAAGCAGCAGCAAAAGCGUGAAGUAACAACAAUAGAAGCGUUGUGAGUGUUGGCCUAAUCUAAUAGCCCAUUGUUGAAUACUGAAGAAUGCAUAUUUAUACAGAAAAAAAUUAUAAUUUUAUGCUCCAAGUCUCACUAAUAUUUUCACUUUCACGUGUUAAAAUACUCUAAGCUUUUAUUAUGUGUGUUUUAUUAUAAUUUAAGUAUUUUAUGUAUUUCAGAGAUAUUUUGGCUAUUUCACAACUAACGAGAAGUUAGACAGCAAAACAUAUGGCAUUCUUAAACUUGGAAUGGUCGAAAACCUCAGGAAGAGUAUAAAAGGGUAUUCAGUACUAUUCACGUAUACGAUACUAUUCAUAUAUACAGCAUUAUUCAUAAGUAUGGUACUGUUCACAUAUACUAUACGAUGAUGUGGUAUUGACAUUUGAUGUGGCAGUAUCCUAUUGGCCAAUUGAUAUGGCAUUGACUGAUUAUGUGGCGUUGACUGAUGAUGUAACAGAAUGCUAUUAGACCAAAAAAUUGAUGUGACAUUGACCGAUAAUGUGGCAGCAUCUUAUUAGACCAAAAUGUUGUUGUCGUGUUGACUGGUGAUGUGUUUCAACCAAUCAAAGCUUGCCACGUGACGUAAUCCUGAGCGUUCGAAUUAUUUUUAUCCAAUGGCCAUGGUUUAUCCAUCAUAUCUAUAAAUAGAGGGCUCCUCCCCUCCUAAUUUGAUACCCCUGAAUAUAUUUUUAGCUCCAUUUUCUGUAAUUCUCUCUUCAUCUUGUAAUUUCUACGUAUUUGAAUAAAAUUACUAUUUUACCCAGAGUUCAAUUAUGAGUGAUUAGUUUAGUUUCGAGCUUGGGUUGAAGAUGAAGUCUCAACAUGAUCUAUGAGUUUAAUUAGGUAAGUUUAUUUUCUUUUCUUAUCUAAUUUAUGUGGUUGUUUUGAUCCAUUGUCAACAUAUAGUGUAUUAUGUCUAGAUUUUGGACAAUAUACCGGUUCCCUAAUGAAAAAUCGUUACUACAAUGAGCAUUUAGCACCAUAUUAAUUAGAGAGAAAAUUUUUCUUUAGUAUUUUGUGGGUUGUCUUAAUUCAAUGUCGAUAAAGAAUGUAUCUAAGUUAUUUAAUGAAUGAUCUUGCCACGUUGUCGAGGAUUACUAUCGUAUGGGACAACGUGUUCUUGACACCACACUUAGUGGAAGAUCAUUACCUCUGGCACUCUGAGUGCUUGAUACCAUAUUUAUUAGAGUAAGGAUUAUGAGGAGUGGAAAUGCCCCCCUCAUGAAUUAAUCGGAACUAAAAUGAAAAUAUUAAGCUCAUGGUGAAUGUUGAGUGUGAAUCUAGAGACUCAAGCGUUUUAUUUGCAUUGGUUUCAUAUUUAAUUCAUUCCCGCCAUUUUAAUUUCAAUCUUAAGAUUAAAAAAUAAAAAAAAAAAUUCACUUCAAACCAACUUACAUUUACACCAAAAAAUUAACCAUUCGCAUAAUUAAAUCUACCUCCUCGUGAGAUCGACAUUCGUCAUUAAAAAAUUAUUCUACAAUAGAUUCAUGUGCUUGCGAGUACAACAAAAUUUGCACAACAUCCAUUAGAGUGACUACACUGGAGACCCUAAUGAAUGACACUUCACUCUUUUUCUCCUAUUUCGACCGAAUUCAAUCUUGAAGCAGGUUUGAAUUAGAGGAAACUACGUAUUGUGUAUGCUAGUCGUGAAUGAUAAAUUGGGUGUUGUUCAUGCGACCUGCUUGUGAAUGAAUUUGAAGAAUUAGGUUUUCAAUUAGGGUAAUUCGAUAAUAUCACAUGGAAAAAGGCAUAUAUGAGGAAUUUUGAAGUGUAGGUAGAUAAAUACCAUAUUUUUUAGGUAUGGUGGGGACAAAUUCCUAAUUCAUUAGUGUGACCAAUAAGAUGUCAGGGAAACAAUCAGAAUUGACCAUUAGGGUUGGCAAAAUACAGGCUUGGGCCAAGCUUUUCCAAGCCCAGGCCUAAGCCCAUAUUAUUUAUAACAAGCCUAAGCCCUUCAAAAGCCCAUCCAACUAGUGUUAAGUUAGGCCUAGGCUUUUGCAUUAGAUAUAAAAUAAUUUUUUGAUAAAAAAAUAUUUAAAUAAAUAAUAUGUAUCCAAUACAUAAUAGAAUAAUAGUUUAAUAAACAAAAUAUUAGUAACACAAUUUAAUAAAUCACAAAUACUAAUAUAAAAAAUAUAUUAAUUUAAAAUUUUGAGUUUUUCUUUUUUUAUUAAAUUAAAUUUAUUUUUUAUUUAUAAAAAAAAAAGCCCAUGCUAAGCAUGAACUUUUUUCCUAAACCCUUACCCAAGCUCAAUCUGUGCCGGAUUUAUAUUUUUUUGUCCCAUAUCCAUGCCCAACCCAUGUGGGCCGGGCUUCAGACCCCUAGGCCUAGGCUGAGCUGGGGUUUUUUGCCAAUUCUAUCGACUACUACAGAAACUGAUGUAAGAGUUCGAAAUAAUUCAAUGGCUAUCAGCAAAUACCGGCGAUGGCUAAGAAUUGACCAACUCGCAAUGAAGCCGCAUGCCAUGUAACCCUUGUUUGUUGUUGUUUUUUUUUUAAAAUUUUACGGUGUUAAGAUGAGCUAAAAUUGAAGUUGAGGUUGUAUAAUACUACUUAUAUGAGUCUGCAGAGUUGAGGCAUGUGCGUCUUUUCUUCAAAUCAUCAAAAUGAAUGACAAUAUUUGUUAUUUUAGUUGACUAUUGUUUCGUUAGAUAAUGAUUUUGGAGGCUGAUUACUACUAGAAUUAAGAACUUGGCAUGACUAUGUUAAGAUGGGUUAUACGCUUUGUUCUUUAAGAUAUGAAUAUUCAUGACAUAAACAUCUGUUUGGUUGGUUAACACCUUGUUGAAGAAGGAUAUUUGAGACAAGAUUUAGAGCAAUAACAUGGAAAUUGCAUGGGUUUAUUUAAACUUGUAAACGGUGCACCCAAUGUUAUGUUUUUAUAAGUGAUGUUGGUCUGUGGGUGGAACUGAGAGUUUGAGCUUUAUUUUAUAAACUUAAUGAAGUAGAACUAAUGUUUAAAUUGUCUUUAAAAAUGAUUUUUGCUUUCAUUUUGAAGAUGACAAUGCUACUAUUGAAUGCGUGACAAUUAAGUUUUGUUUAUAAAUGGUGCUUAAGUGAGUUGUUAGGUUGACUAAGUAAUCACUAUGAAGGGUAUAUUCAUCGUUUGAGUCUAGAGUUGUUUGGAUUUAUUUUAGGUUAUAAAUUAUACACCUAAUGUUCUCUUUUUGUGAGUAGCUGAUCAUUGUGCAGAGUGCUAAGCUUAGUAAUGUUGGUCAUUGCUGGGAUUUGGAGAUUGAGUUUUAUUUUUAUAAACUAAAUUAAGUAAAACUAGUACUUAUAUUGUCUUUGAUUCUUUGUCUUUACUUAAGCUGCCUACAUCCAUCCUCCUCUGAUUCAUGCCAACUUUUAUCCUUUUGUCUUGUAUAGCUGAGCAUAGUUGCUGCAUACUUAAAUGAACAAUCUUUUACCUUUUGAUCUCAAUUUGGGUACCUACUUCUUUACUAAGCACUACAAAAAAUGCCCAAACAGAAGAAAAAAGAGUAAAACAAAACCCAACAAGUUAAUCAUGUCUUUAUUUGACUUUAUAUCAAACUGAUAACAUGCAUGAGGUAGAUUUUAUUCAAAAUUUUAGAUAUCUAGUUAGGAUGUUAGUAUCCCAGUCUCAUCAUUAUUGCUUGUGGUUAACAUGCCUUUUAUAGAAGUAAGUAUUCAAAAUUGUUAGAAAGUGAAUGGCAGUGGCACUUCAAAAGUAGCUAUAGUGACUAUUCUCUGAGUUGUCUACGCCUAGCUUCUUAGUUUUCUCCAAGGAUAAGAAUAUGCUUUCUAGCUUUAUUUUGUAUUCUUUACUCACAUCUUCGUUUAUUAUGUUUUUGCAGGAACAUAAGAUGCAUCUUGGAAAUAAAGCCAAAUUUCACCUUGAAGGCACUUAAUCUUUCUAGAGAUUAUCAUGAGACAAUCUACUACUGGCAAGUACCGUGUGACCACCAAUCGACAACAUAAUAAUUGAACUUCACUGGCUUGAAAUUUUCCUUUUAUGGGCAUGAUCUCUCCUUUUUGAGUUUGAAUGUUUCUUUUGUCAAAAAAACAACUCCUCCCGAUCUUAUUAAUGCUUCAUUUACUGAAUUAGAAGUUCACUAUUUGUAAUACAAAUUUACUUGAACUGGUAUAUUUUGCUUUUGAGAUGAACCAAAUAAGCUCUCUAACGGUACGCCUAGUGAUAAAUUUUUGCAACAUUUGCGUCCAAGAUCAUGAGUAUUUAUAAGGUUUUCCUUAUAACAACAUUUGGUUGAAGACUACAUCACAUUUGUCAGAGAAGUUAGUUUCAUUCUACUUGAUUUUAGUGUUCAUCAGCCUCUUUUAAAUGUCCUAUGAAAAGUUCUUUCUCAUCUUUGUCGAUAGACUAAUUUUGUUCAACUAAGAUGUUGAGGGCUCUUUAUAUUUAUGUCUUUUUGAUUUAUGAUUGCAUUUGACAAAUAAAUAGACUAACCACACUACUUCCCUCAAUAAAUCCAAUACUAAAAUUUGAAUUCUAUUUAAAUUUUAUAUAACCUACUUAAUAUUCAAAUAUAGCCUUUUUUGUCUUAAACUAAUUUUAGUAAUAACUUUAAUUUUUUUUAAGAAUUGAGCAUUUUAUUAUGAUUUGGCAUCAAAUUCGUUAAUGAUCUAGUGCCAGUACAUGUCUAAAAUAUUGUUUGCAUAUUACUGACGCAAGGGUAUUUUAGUCAUUUAUUCAAUCAAUAAGCAGUCGACUAGAAUUUAUACUAACGGUAGGGGUGCAGAGUAGCGAUACCCUUAUACAAUCUAUUCAAGUGAAGGGAUCCCAAACCUCAAGGGAAUGAAACUGAAAAUUAUCCUCAUCCAAAAUCUCACAUUCAAUUUUGAAAUCGAAUUACAUAGUUCAAAUAUGCCAACUGCCAAAGGGUAUUCGUUAUUUUCAUCUCCAAUCCAAACACAAUUCUUAUUUAUUUUUCCCCUUAAAUAAUUUUCUUUUCAUUCCCCCCCUUUUAAGCUUUAAAAUUGGUCUACACUUUAUAAUUCUGGGACCACGUUUCUCUAGACGUUGAAAUAAGAAAUACUUUAUAAAGUAAUUUUGAAAACAAUUGAAAAAUUGGGUGUUGAUGAGAUAAUUUAAAGAGAUCAUAAAUGACUACUCAAAGUUAAAAUUUACUUUGUUGCCCAAACCACAAAAAUUUAGAAACAAAGAGUUAAUGGGUUAAAUUUAGAUAUGGCAAUGAUAACCGCAAGCUGGAAAACCCGCCAAAACCUGUCCGCUGUGGAUAAUUUUGUAGGUUGCGAACGUGUUUGUUAUUAUAAAUUGAAACCCACACUAGGUUGCCGGAGGAUUUAAUAUUAGUCAAAUAUCCAGUAUAUACUUGCAUAGAUAUCCGCUAACGCUCAACUUUUUUAAAAAAAAUAUCUUUAAUUUAAUUUUAAUUGAAAAAUAUUUAAAUCUAAAAAUAUAUAAAGUAAAUAAUGUAAAGUGCAAAUGUGUAUGCAAGUUGCAACGUGUGUAAGUCCUAACAGGCUUUAAUUUAAUGCAUGAAUUAUUAUAUACUUAUUAUAAUUUUGUAUGGACUAUUUUUCUUUAAAUUAAUGUAUGGAUUAUUUCAUUAUUAUAAUUUUAUUCUUUGGAUUAGUAUUUAAAAAGUAUUAUUCUUUAGAAAACAUUCAUUUUAAUUAUUAUUGUAGGAAUUGUGUUGGAUGAGUGCUAAUGGUGGUGAAUGAAAUGAAGAGUUCUUUUGGAGCUUGUGUUGAAUGAUAAUUGUUAUUUUAAAUACUAGUUUAUGGUUUUUUAUGAAUUUGUGUAAAAAUUUGAGAAUUUGAGUUGGAUUGACGUUGAAAUUUUAAUUUUCCAUUUAUAUUGGUUAAAUUUAGAAUUGAGUAUGUUAUGUGAAAUUUAUAUUAGUAUUAUACAUUUAUAUAUUGAACAUUUGUGAUUUUAAAUGUGGAAACCCGUAAAAAAUCUGCCAAAUACCGUUGCGGUUUGGUAAUUGUCAAAACCCACAGAUGAUGGAUUUUCUUAAAAAAAUAAAACCUGUAGCGGGUUGCGGGUGGGUUUGGUAAUUUAAAUUUUAUGCAAAUUUAGAUUUGAUAAUAACAAACCUACUGCGGGCAGUAUCCAUUGCCAUCCUUAGUUAAAUUUACUUUUGCAGUCGCUAUUGUAUUUAAUCUUUUUUAAUAAAAAGAUAGGGCUAUUUAACACUAUUUUUUAUACAAUCAACCCCAUUUUUAAGAUCGCAUUGUAUAACUUAAUUUUACAAUGUAUCAUCAAGUGGUUCCCAGUUUACUCUUGAGAAGUUAUAUUUCAAAACCCAGAUGAGAAAAUCUAAUAACACAAAACUAAAAUCCUUCUCCAUUACACAAAUCCAGCAGGUUAUUCUUUAGGAAUAUAUUUUCAUGUUGGCCUCAAACAAAGCCAACAUUGCAAGCAAAUUCAAAUGACAAUUUUUUUCAUAGCGAAACUGCCAAGUCAUCCGUUACGUGCUUUUGUUUUCUACACCUAAUCACCUAUGGUGAAAGUCUGAAAAAGGACCAUAAGAUAAUUAUAUAAAGAAUUCAUUUUGGUAAUUUUCACGAGAUUAUUAUUAUUAUUAUUAUUAUUAUUUAUGCAUGAGAUAAACGUUUAAAUUAAAAAAAAAUUGAUAUGUAGGGUGUGAAAUAAAAGGAGGAAGCUAAGUAGAGCCACUCUAACCCAAAUCACAAAAUUUAACUCUUUUAACUAAGGUCAUCCCAUUAAGUUUAGUAAAAUAAUUCUUAGGCAAUUCCUCAAUUAUUAUUAUUAUUGUUGUGGUUGUUGUUUUAAGUAUACCAUUUUCAGCCAAAUCAAUAAUAAGGUUUUGGGGUUAAAAUCAAUAAUAAGGUUUUGGGGUUUUUUGGAAUUUUGUUGCACACAAGACUAAUAGAAAGAAAUUUUUUUAAAAAAUUAAUAAAUAUUUAUUAAUAGAAAGAAAAUUGAAAUUAUCUAGUGUUGAAUCUGUUUUCCCCUUCUACGUAAUGCUAAGAUGAUUACAGCACAACAUCAGAUAUAUGGAUGGGAGACUUCCACAUUCCAAGACCAAAAUUUCGUUAACUUCACUUAUUUAUUAAAAUGAUUAAAAAUAUUAUUUUAUUAAAAUAAUUAAAAAUAUUAUGAGUCAUGAUAGAACCACAACUAUUUUAUACAAAUAAACGUGCACAAACUGAUGUGGCAUGAGGAGAUUGAUUGUAUAAAACCAUCAUGGAUUCACAUAAUUAAAAAAAUUAUUGUUAUCAUUUUUCAACCAAUCUUUUCAUACCACAUCAAUUUGUAUACAAAAAUUUAUAUACAAUUAUUUGUGACUAUCAUUAUUGAGAAAUUUAUAGUGAUUUAUGGUGGAAAAUCAUGUUGGUAUAUAAACUUACUUAAUAACAUGACUAUUUUAAAGGCUGAAAUGAUAAAUUUACAUUAUACAUUUAAUAAAUUAUGAUCCACGAAUCACAUGCUAGCUACAAGAAUUAGAUAAUCAAUUCAUGGAAUUUAUUGUAGACAAAUAUUCAAGAAGAGAUUCGAGAAGAGAGAGCAUAAUAUAUAUCAACGUAAUUAAUUUUAAACAUUGGCACACAACAGAUUUUAUUUAUUUAUUUUAUUUUUAGGAAAACGAGGUACAUGUAAAUAAACAAAUAAAAUCUCUUGAAUAUCCCAAGAGAUUUUAUAACAGUACCCAUCAUUUUAUUUAUUUAAACAUAAUAUAAAAAAAGUGACACUUCAUGCACUUAACCAGUGUGGUUGGAAUUUCUUCCAUAUUGAGGAGGAAUAAGAAGAUCAAGACUUUCAUUCACAAUCUCAUCAUCAACGAUACUGCCACAGGGUGGAAAUUGGAGACCCUCCAACCAAUCAUUCUUACCUGAAAAAAAUAAAUAUAUAUAUUAAAAAAUUACUCAUAAAUGCGUAUAUUAGAAUAAGAAUUUUAACUGAUAUUAAACUGAAAUUGGCUCAAAAACCUUCGCAAAGAGAUUCCAUAUUCUUCAAAGCUUCUAGUGAACCGUAAUGCAAAGUAUAAGAGCUGCUUCUGGGAGUUCUUGUUGGCUUCUGGUUUGAGAGUAUAUAUACACAUACACACACACACAUUCACACAAGUAGCUGACGUGUGCGUGAUUGGGGCGUAGUUAAUGCAUGCAAUGUUAAUAGAUAAGGAGGGUCAAAUGGUGCAAUUAAUUAAUCAAUUGUAGAUGAUAAGAUAUUGAAUGGAGGCUAUAACUUAAUUGCAUAGUUCCCUUGGCUUGCUAAUAAACUAAUAACCUUAGAUAAGAAGAUGAUAUUAAAUGAUAUAAAGUUUGUCGGCUAUAAUUUAAUUACAAGACAAGCUAAUAUAUAGCAAUGAACACAGUAUUUUCUUUCACAAUAGAAUGAUGAUAUGUUGUAAUUCUUACAGAAAGGUUAAUUUAAUAUACAGGACGAAGUCGUGAUAUAUAAGAGGCGUAUAUAUAACCUAAAAUACAAAUAAAGCAUAUCUUAUCAAAUGAAGAUAUAGGACCGUAACAAAUUAAGUAAUAAUUAAUUUUCUUAGAUAUAGAUAUGACUUCACGUAAUCAAGUUAUUGGACAAAGUCAUAAGAGGUAGUGCAUGACCUACCACGUAAAUUAACCUUAUCAUUUUAAUUUUAUCAAAUGAAUAUAUUGGCCAAUAAUGAUAAUUAAUGUAUGACCUAUCUAUCUCGUAAGCCAUAUGUAUGAACAAAUGAAGAUAUGAUAUUAAGCUAGCUAAAAACUAUAUCCUUUAUAUAAUAGCAAUUGGGUCCGGUUCAAGAAACACAAAUAUAUAAAUUUUAAGUCUUUAGAUUUAAACAAAAUAAACGGCUCAGAUCUAAUGGAUUAGAUGAUAUUACAUAUCAAUUUCAACACAUUAAUUGAUGCUAUCACCUUUAAUUUUCUUUACCUCCUCUCCUCCUCAUCAAAGUUCUUCUUUUGAUUUAUUUCAUCUAUUGUUUUACCUCUCCUUUUUUACAACUUUGUUUCUUCUCUAUUUUUUUCCUCUCUUUUUUUUUUAUAAUUUCAUAGUUUGUUUCCUUAAAAAAUUAUAUAUACUUAUUCUUUUUUCUUUUCAUUAAAUCAAACUAUUCAAAUAUUAUUGCUUUGUUGUUAUUCUUUUAUUGAAUAUACGUAUCAAGUGAUUUGUCAGUAUAUAUAUUGUAUUUACUUCUUUACAUGGACCAGCAUUCAUAAAUAUUAAUUUAUAGGCCAGUUCUGGUAAUAAAAAGUCCUGGAUCUACCCUAAUAGUGUCCUAAACUCCAGGUGUAUAUCAUUAUUAGUUUUCUUUAUUUAAAAUAAAAUCAAAUAAAAAUUCAAAUUUAUAUAAAAAAAGGUUUUUUAAUAGAAAACUCAACAUUCAUUAACUCAAAGAAGAGGGCAAUUAAGUAUACAAUUUUUGUUGGGAAUGAACAUUAUCACUCUUUUCGAAUGUAACUUAAAGAAUGCCUUUUAAAGAAUGUAAAUGAGUAUCUAUAUAGCACCAUUCUAAAGUUUAAUUUUUGUGAAAUGCUCUAAAGUUAAGAGUGAUGAUAUUUGACCUCCUUACUUUGCCUUAUUAACUCCUACGAUUCAAUUAGUUAUAUUAUUUUCAAAAUUAUCUUUACUUACAAAAAACGAUAUUCAAUUUUUAUUUCUAGCAAAGCAUUUAUUGGAGAAACAAAACAUAGAUCAAGAUUCAAUUUGACCAAAUAAUACAAUUAAUUAAUUGAUUGAUAAAUUACUUAGUGUGAGUAGGUGUGCAUUAGGAAAAAAAUCUUCACAGCAACAAGAUAAAGGCUAUUGAUUGAAAAAUUACUUAGCACAAGCUCGUUGUAGGGCGACUUUGAGUAAAACGCCAAUGAUGAGAAACUAAUUGAUGAAAUCUUACGUUUUAGUGGCCAUGACUAUAUUAUCAUUUUUGUGUCAACUGAUAAAUUAUUGUAAUUAAUUUUCACUUGAGUAUUACUUUGAUGCUAAUAUUGCACUUAACAUAUUAGUAAAGUUUUUUUACGCACAAAAUCACAAGGGAGGGGUUGGGUGACAUAAUAGCCACACUCCAUUCUUUUUUUUUUCUUUGGUAUAUUAAAUCAUUUGGUAUCCGGAUGACACAUUGAGCCCCAACUAAUUCAGAUUCCAACCAAGUAUGAUCACUAGGGCUGCAAAAUUCUCCCAACAAGUAUUUAACGCACCUGUAUUUUCAAACCUCGAAUUGAAGACUUUGGUUAAAUUAGAACAGCCAUAUUCUAGCUGACCUAUGUACUUGUUGGUGCCACACUCCAUUCUAUUCAUCUAAAACCUCACAUUCAAUUUUAAAAUCGAAAUACACAGUUCAAACAUGCCUACUGCCAAUGGGUAUUUGUUAUUUCCAUCUCCAAUUCAAACACAAUUCUUAUUUAUUUUUCCUCUUAAAUAAUUUUCUUUUCAUUCUUCCCCUUUUUUACGCUUUAAAAUUGGUAUACACUUGUUGAUUCUAGAACCAAGUUUCUCCAGACUUUGGGAUAAGUAAAGGUAAUUUUAAAAAUAAUUGAAAAAUAGGGAUUGAUGAGAGAAUCUAACGAGAUCAAGUGUGAUCGCUCAAAGUUAAAUUUACUUUAUUGCCCGAACCACAAAAAUUUAGAAGCAAAGAGUGAAUAUGUUAAAUUUACUUUGGUGGGCUCUUUUUAGAUUUGGGUUUGAGUUGGUUCGUAUUUAAUCUUUUUUAAUAAAAAGAGUAGGCUGUUUAACCCUAUUUUUUUAUCCAAUCAGCCCCAUUUUUAAGAACGCACUAUGUAAAUUAAUAUUUUCAGUGUAACAUCAAGUGGUUCUCAGUUUACUCUUGAGAAGUUAUAUUUCAAAACCCAGAUGAGAAAAUCUAAUGCCACAAAACUCAAAUCCAAAAUCUCAUGCCACAAAACUAAAAUCCUUCUCCAUUAUAUAAAUCCAUCAGGUCAUUCUUUAGCAAUUCAAUUUCAUAUUGUCUUCAGACAAAGCGAACAAUUCAAGCAAAUUCAAAUGACAAAUUUUUCAUAGCAAAUCUGCCAUGUCAUCCGUUACAUGCUCUUGUUUUUUUUACACCUAAUCACCUAUGGUGAAAGUCUGAAAGAGGACCAUAAGAUAAUUAUAUGAAGAAUGCAUUUUGGUAACUUUUAUGAGAUAAUUUUUUUUUUCUGAUACAUGUGAUAAACGUUUAAAUUAAAUAAAAUUGAUAUGUAGGUUGUGAAAUAGAAGGAGGAAGCUAAGUAGUGACACUCUAACCCAAAUCACAUAAAAUUUCACUCUUUUAACUAAGGUCCUCCCAUUAAGUUUAGUAAAAUAAGUCUUAGGCACUUCUUCUUCUUCUUCUUCUUAUUAAUUAAAAAACUUUAUGAGUAAUGAUAGAAUCACAACCAUCUUGUAAAUAAGUGUGUACAAACUAUGUGGCAUGAGGAGAUUAGUGGUAUAAGACCAUCAUGGGUCCACAUAAUUAAAAAAAUAAAUUAAAAAAAUUUAUGAGUAAUGAUAGAACCACAACCAUCUUGUAAAUAAGUGUGUACAAACUAUGUGGCAUGAAGAGAUUAGUGGUAUAAGACCAUCAUGGGGUCCACAUAAUUAAAAAAAUAAUUACUAUAAUUUUUCAGCCAAUCUCUCAUGCCAUGUCGAUUUGUACACAAUAAUUUAUACAAUUUUUUUUUGUGACUAUCAUUAUUGAAAAAUUUAUAGUGAUUAUGGUUGAAAAUCAUGUUGGUAUAUAAACUUACUAAAUAACAUGACUAUUUUAAUGGCUGAAAUGAUAAAUUUACAUCACACAUUUAUUAAAUUAUGAUCCACACAUCACAUGCUAGCGACAAGAAUUAGAUAACCAAUUUGUUGAGCUUAUUGCAGAAAAAUAUUCAAGAAGAGAGAGCAUAAUAUAGUUCAACCUAAUUAAUUUUAACACAUUGACACAUAAUAAUUUUUAUUUAUUUAUUUAUUUUCUUAAGAAAACACGGUACGUGUAAAUUAACAAAUAAAAUCUCUUGAAUAUCUCAAGAGAUCUUAUAACAGUACCCAUCAUUUUAUUUAAUUAAACAUAACAUAAAAAAGUGACACUUCAUGCACUUAACCAGUGUGGUUGGGAUUUCUCCCGUACUGAGGAGUAACAAGAAGAUCAAGAUUUUCAUUCAUAAUCUCGUCAUCAACGAUACUGCCACAUGGCGGAAAUUGAAGACCCUCCAACCAAUUAUUCUUGCCUGAAAAAAAAUUAUAUAUAUUAGAAAACUUACUCACAAAAGCAUAUGUUAAAAUAAGAAUUAUAAAUUAUAUUCAACUGAAAUUGGCUCAAAAACCUGUGCAUAGAGUUUCCAUAUUCUUCAGAGCUUCUAGUGAGCCGUAAUGCAAAGUAUAAAAGUUCCUUCUGUGAGUUCUUGCUAGCUUCUAGUUUGAGAAUAUGUAUACACACACACACACACACGCACACGCACAUUAACACAAGUAGCUGACGUGUGGGCGAUUGGCGCGUAGUUAAUGCAUGCAAGGUUGAUAGAUAAGGUCAUAAGGAGGAUCAAAUGGUGCAAUUAAUUAAUCAAUUGUAGAUAAUUAAGAUAUUGAAUUAAGGAAAUAAU